rnacentral:lncRNA from 1 species
GCGGGUGUCCACAGCAUAGUUGGGGUUAAGCCACUUAGUCAUGGAGGCAAGUGAAUGCGCAACAAGGGAUCUCUAACCUUCAAACUGUUUAAGGGAGAAUACUCUAUGAUAUGAUUAAGAAUCUCUGGCCAGAGUAUGAAUGAGAUUUAGGAAGUCAUUCCAAAUCACAUUCAAGGUAAUCAUAUAAGUAAAUGAAUCACAUUAGAUAGUAGACAUGAAUAAACUAUCAAACCAAACAAUGUGGUCAAGAGUAUUGUAUUAGAGAAAGACCGUAUUGCAUUUGUAAUCCUAAACUGAAUAGGUUCUCCACCUCUUCUAAUUAGCUUGGGUAACCAUGAUAUGCUGCUAGGUGUCACUUAUGGUUUGUGGAAGCCCUAAACGUGUAUAAUCACUAAAGGGAGAAUUGAAAGUAAGUUUCAAUUCAUAAUCGAUUUGAAAUGGUUUUAAUCGCCCACUGCCUCGCUAAAAGGAACCUAAUGGAUCGUACACCGUGUAAGGUGGAGAUUGAAGAAACAAUGGAGAUGAGUAAGAAUAAUUAAAUGGUUUAAUUAUUUAUGGCAAGGAUUAAUUAAUAUGUUAAUUAAUCAAACAAAUAAGUUCGUUAAAGACCUCAGGAUAGUUUUGGACCUUAAGGCCCAAUGGGCUUCGAACGUCAAGCCCAUUGACUUAAGUUGUAUGACAACUUAAUGAAUAAUGAUUCACAAAGGCCCAAUUAGCCCAAUAAUACCCUAAGGCCGGCCAUUCAGAGAUGGAGUGAGUUUUGGACUUAUUUACAAGUUUGCCACUCCAACGAAUUAAGGUAUAAAUAUGACUUUAUAGCCAAAAUUCAUUUAGGGUUUUCUUUUGGGGAAAUGAUGAGAACAUAAGCUCUCAUUUCUCUCUAAAGUGGCCGGCCUCCUUGGAGGGUUUAGCUAGCAAUCCUACUACUCCAAGGUCACUCAUUUCUUCUCCAAUCUAACCUUGGUGAAGAGACUUAGAGGUUCUCAAUUUUGGGAACUUGGAGAAACCUAUUCCUCCAUCCAAAUCCAUGGAUCUAAGAAGCAAGGAAUGAAGGCCCUAUCUCUUGGGUGAUUAUCCUUUGCUUAUGCAAAGAGGAAUCAACAAAGGUAUAAUUUCUCAACUCACUUAAUUUUGAGUUGAGUCUUGGUUCACCAAACUACUAGGCUUUGAAUUUCAUGGGUAAUGUUUUGUUUUUGAGUGAAUACAAGCAUGAUUCCGCCUUUAAUUUGUUAAUUGCAUGCUAUAGAUGUUAUUCAAAUGAACAUGUUUUUCACAAAAUUUCCUUCAGUGACACUAAGACAAGUAUGUAAGUGCUCAUUAAGGGAAUGAGUUCAGUGAACACAAUCGAACGAGAGUACUUGAAUGGAGGUCGACUCACAUGUCAAGCAAGUAACUCUAAUAGUUGGAAUAAUGUAAGUAGUCUUUUGACCUGAGGCAUCAUCGUUGUCUUGUGGUUAAGUACUUGAUCUUUGAUUAUGUCAAAGUCACUCCAUCCGCGGGUGUCCACGGCAUAGUCGGGGUUAAGCCACUUAGUCAUGAAGGCAAGUGAAUGCGCAACAAGGAAUCUCUAAUCCUCGUGAAGAGAGGAUGAAUACUCUAAGAUAUGAUUCUGGAAUCUUCGGCCGAAGUAUCGAGCGUAAUAAAGGAAAGCGUUCCUAUACGACUCAAUUGAAUCAUAUAAGAAGGAAUAAUCACAUUAGGGGUUUGACAUAAUAUAUCCAUACCCUAGUGAUGUGAUUGAGAGUAUUGUUUUAAAGAAGGAUCAAAUUACAUUGUAAUUCCAACUGAAUAGGUUCUCCGAACAACUUCUACAUUAGCUUGGGUAGCCAUGAUAUAUGGUUAGAUGUCACUCAUGGCUUGUGAGUUCUUCUAGAUGAUUAAAUGUAGUCGUCAAAGAAGAAGGUGAAUUAAAAGUAAGUUUUAAUUCACUAAGUGAUUGGAUUAAAUAUAAUCAAUUGGAUUGGUGCCAAUCACCUCACUGCCUUGCUAAUUAGAACCUAAAACAAUUGUUCACCAAUACACUCUUGUAGUGAGUAACUAAUGGAUGAUGGAAAUAAUUAAUUGGAUUAAUUAAGUGUUGUGAUUAAUUAGAAAGUCUAAAGAAAUCAUAAAAGCGAUAUAAGAUCGUUUUGGGCUUAAAGAAACGUUCGGGUUUAAUUGGGCCCAUUGGGCCUAAACCCAUUGGGCUUUUAUUCAAGCAUUGGAUGACUUGAAAUAAAUAAAGCCCAAAGCCCAAACAACACAAAGGGGCCGGCCAAAGGAAGGAGAGAAAGGUCAAAUGUUGACUUGUUUCUUUUGGCUAUAAAAGGAACUUUAUAGCAAAUGUUUCAUUAGGGUUUUUGAAGUGUUAAAAGAACAAAAAAGAAAAAGAAAAAUAUCUCUCUAACACUCAAAGGGGCCGGCCACCAUUGGGGGAUUUAGCUAAUCAUCUUUUCACCCCUUUGGUUAUUCCUUCAUCCUUCUCACUACACUAGUGGGUGAGGAUCUUUAGAGGUUUUCAAUUUUGGAAACUUGAAGAGAACCUAGGAGCACUCAUUCUAAACAAAGUGGAGGAGGCAAGGAAGGAGGCUAGGCUCAAGGAGUUCAAGGAGCAAAGGGCUUGGAGGUGGUCCAUCCUUGGUCUAAGAUUUAGAUCAAGAGGUAUAAAACUACUCCUAAACUUUGUUCUUGUAUAAAUUUGUUUUUGAUGCAUCUUACAUAAACCUAUGCAUCUUGAAGGGGGUUUACAUGACUAUUGCUUUGAUAUUAUUUGAUAACAUGCUUCCGUUGCUUUCGUAUAUAAAUUUUGAAUUGUAUAUGCAUGCUAGUCACUAGAAAUCCCACAUGAAUCUCAUAGUAUUCCCUUCAGUGGCACCACUAUCUGGGUACCAUGUGGGGUCUGGGUACUGCACGACUUGGGAGCCAGCAAAAGGUGUAAAAGAAUCAGGCCCAUGAUAACGAUAAGGACACUGUUGGGCUAAGUAUUGAUUUGUUGAACAGUUGGGGCACCAAGGCCAAGGCCCGAGCCUAAUAAGCCCUGCGAGUUCCACUGACCGCGUCCUAUGCCACACGGAGGGCCAUUCCAGUUUGCUAGGCCAUUCAUAUUCAGCCCAUUGCAAGGGUGGAAGGGUGCAUUCCAGUUGCCACGAUUUGGACGACCAUUGCGACCAUGAUUGUUGCUGCGAUGUUGUCCUCCACAUCCUCCUUUGUGACCUUGCCAGCCACCUUUGGUAGGUGGAUAAGAUUGAUUCCACGGGGAUGGUUUUGGGGUUGUUGGUGGAUGGUGAUGAGAGCUGUCUAUGUAGUUAAAGUGGAGGAGCCGUUGGGGUUCUGAAGAUCAAAAGCAAGAAUCCGUGUGUGUAACUCAGUGAAGGAUGGCAAGGGUUUCGAGUUAAUGACAGCUGUAAGGAGCAUACGAUAGUCAAGACCUAACUCUCGAAGCACCAUGAGAACCAAGUCGUUGUUAGAGAUAAGUUGUCCAAUAUGAACGAGUUCAUCAGUGAGAUUCUUGGCGUGUUGCAGGAACUCAGAGACGGAAUGGGUGCCUUUAUGAAGAUCCAAUAAUUAGAAACGGAGGUUGACUGCGUUGGCGACAUAGUUCUAGGAUAAGUGUUCCUCCAGGCAGUCCCAAACAACUUUGGCCGUGUCAUGGCCAACUGUUAAGGCAAGAACAGGUUCAGAGAGGGUGGAGGUGAUGUAACUUACGACAAGUUGAUCGUGCUAGUACCAUGUGAGGUAUGCAGGGUUAGAGACCACAGAGGAGAGAGGGGCCUGUGUAACAUCGGUAGAAGAAUCAUUAGAGUCGGUUGUGGUGCGUGGAGGAGCAAGAGUGGUGGUGGUGAUUCUACUCGGCGGUAGGGGAAAAGAGCCAUCAAUGAAUUUCCAUAAAUCAUGCCCGAUGAGGAACGGAAGAAGUUAACGCUGCCAGUUGAGAUAAUUUGUCCCUGUUAGUUUCAGAAAUUGAGAAACAUUUUGGCCAGGUAAGUGAGGUGAAGAAGCACCAGAGGUUGACAUAGCAAAAGGUGAGGAUCGGUUAGGAAGCAAUAAAGCCAGAAAGGGAUGAUACCAUAUAGAAAGUGAAGAACAAUACCAUGUAGAAUGUUACAGCCCGUCCCUGAUUUUACGAAAAUACCUUAGAGGUGAAGGGUUUUAGACUUUUGUUGACCAACGUAUAGUGAGAAGUACGAACUUAUUUCAGCGUAUUCCUGAAGUACUCGACAAUAUGAGCAGAAGGGGAUUUGGAGUUACGGUUAAAGUUUUACGAAACUCUAACCUGAGAAGUACUUUUACUUUGGUUAAUAUAUACAUAUAUUUAUUUAUAUGUUAUUAUUUUUAUUAGUUGUUAUUAGAAAUUGGAAAAGAAAGAGGAAGGCAUCGGGAGGAAAGGAAAACAGAGGAAAAAGAGAAAAAGAGAGAUUGGGCAAAGCUGCCCAAUCAGAGAAGAUGAAGGAGAGGCCGAAUGGGGAGAGGAGAGAGGAAGCUGAUUGGCCAACCAGAAGAAGGAAAUAAGGGAAAAGAGGAUGAAGGAAAAGGAGAGGAUCGGCCAGAUCCUGUCGACCUGCGCACACCCAACCCGUCGACCAAGUGAAAUUAUGGCGGUUCUGAGCCGUUUUUCAGGCUAUUUUCAUCCCAUCUCCACCUGCAAGCAUCACCACAUCUCUUCUCCUUCAUUUUUCUCUCAAGAUUCGAUGGAAAUUGGGUCAAAUCCGUGACAUUUAGCGAUGGUGACUCCGGCGGGUGUUGCGUCGAUUCUCCCAAUUCUGAAACAAUUUCUUCCAAUUGACACUACACAUACACUUCCCUUGAGGCCUAGAACAAUGCCCAAUUGUUGGUUGGAGGAGCGGAGUUGAAUUGAGGACGAAUUGAAGAACACCACAUAUAAGGUUUCGUACGGUUUUGGCAAAAUUGGAGCUUUUCUAGGCCAAAUUGGCCUUGGCCUCAGGUAUAAAGUUUACUCUACUCAUUGAGAUCUUAAUUUCUGUAAAUUUUGGUAAUUUUUGGAGAUAGUUGGAUUUUCCGAUGAGCCGGGGCGGCCCGUACGGCGGCGCGUGGCCAGUGGCCCGCCAAUGUCAUUCUUAGCAUGUGUUUAAUGUUCUAGGUUCAGUUUUGAUAAUUGAUUGACGUAAAUUGAGUAAUUCAACCUAAGUUCGUUACGAUUCGUGGUUAGGUGAAAAUGUGAAUUGAUGAUCUGACUGUUGGAUCGUCAACAAACUUUGAUACAUUGUAAUACGUAAUAUUUGAGGACUAUAGGAACUUACAGAUUGGAAAUCUGAUUUAUGGAUCUUCCAAAAUUGGAGUUGUAAGUUCAUAAAAUAGAAUGUUAACCGUCACUUGGUUUUGACAAUUGACGGAGAUCCUACCAUUGGAUGGUAAGGAAAUUUUAGGAUGUUGUUCUAGAGAUAUAUUGUGGACCUCUGGAAGUUAUGGAUUGGAAAUCUGAGAUGCAGAUCUUCCAGAUCAAACUACGUAGUGACCUGUUUUAUAUAAGUUAUAUAUUCUAUCGAUAUGAUUUAUGAGGUUUGAUUUGAUGAUUGUUCUAGGCGCUAAUCAUCAUGACACCUUGAUGUGUUGUGCUAGGGAGUUGUUGAAGGAAAAUUUUUGUCCUAGCUAAGAACAAGUAAGAACAUUUGAAUACAUAUGCAAACUAUUAACACUUUAAAGUAGGCAUGCAUUCAAAAACAAUUCAUAAAACCCACGACUUUCAAAGCCUAGUAUAUGGUGAACCAAUAAACUCUUUAACAACAUUAAAGAGAAGGAAAGAUUUAGAGUUUCUUUACCCUUGAAGCUCAUCCUUGAUUACACAAGGGAUUCACCCAAGUUGAGGGCCUUCAAGUCACCUCCUUGCUCCUUGGAUCUUCCUUGUGAUUUUCCUCCUUUUAGUGCUCCUUUGCUUAUUUGAGGAUUUGAGGAUUUGUUCUCCAAAACACCAAAAGUUUGAUGUCUCUAAGUCUCUUCACCAAGGAUGUGAUUGUGAAGUGAAAUGGAUGACUUAGAGAAGAAUAAAUUGCUAGCUAAAACUCCUCUAAGUGGCCGGCCUCUUUAGAGAAAAUGAGAGAAAGUGUUUCACCUCAUUUCACCAAGAAAAACCCUAAAUGAAAAUAAAGCUAUAAAGUUGAAUUUAUACUUCAUCACAUGUGAGUGGCAAACUUGUAAUUAAUCCAAGUUUGACACUUCUCACCCUAAUGGCCGGCCAUAUCAAAUUGAUUGGGCUAAUUGCCCAUUUUGUUUUAGUUGUCAUACAACUUAAACAUAAUGGGCAUUGUGGACCAAAAAUGCUUUUGGGCCCCGAAACCCAAAACCAACAUAUAAGCCCAAUACGAACAUUUCGUAUAAUUAAUUAACUACUUAAUUAAUCUUGACCAUUCUUCAAUUAAACCAUUUAAUUGCUUAUCCAUUUCAUUUAAUUUCUUCACCAACAUCCUUAUUCGGUGUACGAUCCAUUAGGUUCCAUUUAGCAAGGUAGUGGGCGAUUGUUACUCUUAACGAUCGAUUACGAAUUGAAACCACAUUUCAAUUCUCCCUUAAAAUUAGUGUUUGCUAAUCAUUAGGGCUUCCACAAACCAUGAGUGACACCUAGCAGCAUAUCAUGGUUACCUAAGCUAAGUAGAAGUGGUUGGAGAACCUAUCCAGUUACAACUACAAUGCAAUACGGUCCUUCUCUAAUACAAUACUCUUAAUCACAUUGUUUGAGUGAUAGUUUGUUUCAUGUCUACUAUCCAAUGUGAUACUUAUCUAUAUGAUUCAAUUGAAUAUGAUUUGGAACAAACUUCCUAAGUCAUAUUCAUAUGCUUUGGCCAAAGACUUUCGAAUCAUAUCUUAGAGUAUUCUCCUUCCACCAUGGAAGGUUAGAGAUCCCUUGUUGUGCAUUCAUAUGCCUACACGACUAGAUAGCUUGACCCCAACAAUGCCAUGGACAUUCCAAUGGAAUGCCUUUAACAUGAUCAAAGAUGAAGGACCUAACCAUUAGACAUCUAUGAUGCCUCAGGUCCAAGGACUACUUUGCAUAUUGCAACUCUCGAGUUCUUACAUGACAUGUAUGUUCGAACUCUCUUUUGAUCGUUGUUCAGUGUACUCGAUCACUAUUUCGAGCACCUAUGUGUUUGCCUUAGUGUCCAACACUAAAUGACUUGAGACUUGUCAUACUCGCGAUUGAGUCGACAUAACACAUACUAACCUUAGCGGAUUGUCAAUGCCCAAUUGGCAAUCCUAUGGCUAGGAACGUUUUAGGAAUGAACAUAAGAGAAAGGUCUCGUUAAUCUAACUUACUUAAAUCACUUAUCUCUUAGAUCAAAUACAUUCCUUGGAUUCCCUUAUUGCUUAAACACAAGAUACAAUAAAUAGUGAUUAACAAUAAGCUUUGCCCUUCAUUAAACAUAUAAAAGUUUAAUACAAUAAGUAUUCCAAAAGCUAUUACAUCAAAUGAGUGGCUUUGUGGGCAUACUUCCAACAAUCUCCCACUUGCACUCAAAGCCACCUUCCCCAUGUAUCUAAUACCCAUCCUUUCCAUAUGACGGUCAAGUUGGAUUUGAGACAUUGGCUUUGUCAGUGGAUCUGCUACGUUAUCGGCUGAGGCAACUUUGAGGAUGUUGACUUUCCCCUCGGCAGCAUAUCUUCUAAUGAUAUUAAAGCGCCUGUCAAAAUGCUUGUUCUUUUGAUGAGCCCUGGGUUCCUUGGCUUGAGCUAUCGCCCCACUAUUAUCACAGUACAAAGUUACUGGUGAUGUAAUCGUUGGAACCACUCCAAGUUCAGUAAUGAACUUCUUCAUCCAGAACGCUUCUUUGCCGGCUUCAGCUGCAGCGACAUAUUCUGCCUCUGUCGUGGAAUCAGCAAUUACACUUUGUUUCUUGCUUUUCCAGCUAACAGCCCCACCAUUCAGAGUGAAUACAUAUCCGGAGUUGGAACUUCUAUCAUCGACAUCAGAUUGGAAAUCUGCGUCUGUAUAGGCUUCCACUCGCAACUCUGUUGCUCUUCCAUAAACGAGGAACAUGUCCUUAGUUCUUCUUAAGUACUUAAGGAUGGUCUUGACAGCUGUCCAGUGUUCUGAUCCUGGGUUAGAUUGAUAUCGACUAGUAAUGCUCAUAGCAUAUGCGAUAUCAGGCCUUGUGCAUAUCAUGGCAUACAUGAGACUUCCUAUGGCGGAGGCAUAAGGAAUAGCACUCAUCUGCCAUACCUCUUCAGGAGUUUUAGGUCCCAUGGACUUAGAAAGGUGAAUUCCAUAUCCCACAGGAAGAAGACCUUUCUUAGAUUGUUCCAUUUGGAACCUACUUAGCACCUUAUCUAUGUACAUAGAUUGGGAUAAUCCAAUUAAUUUAUUGGAUCUAUCACGAUAGAGCUUUAUCCCAAGUACAUAAGAUGCAUCUCCCAAAUCUUUCAUGUGGAAGGUUUUGGACAACCACACUUUUACAGAAGAAAAUACUGCAGUGUCAUUCCCGAAUAGUAAUAUGUCAUCUACAUAUAAUACUAGGAAUACUACUACAUCCCCAACGACUUUUUGAUAAAAACAAUUGUCGUCUUCGUUUUGAGUAAAACCAAACAUUUUGAUUUCAGUAUCGAAACGAAUGUUCCAGCUCCUGGAGGCUUGCUUAAGUCCAUAAAUGGACCUUUGAAGCUUGCAUACCUUAGUCUUUUCAGACUUGGACAUGAAACCUUCGAGUUGAGUCAUAUAGAGCUCUUCCUCUAGGUAGCCGUUCAGAAAGGCCAUCUUCACGUCCAUUUGCCAAAUCUCAUAAUCAUGGUACGCAGCUAUAGCAAGCAAAAUCCGAAUGGACUUAAUCAUGGCUACAGGAGAAAAGGUUUCUUCAUAGUCAAUCCCUUCUAUUUGCCUGUAACCCUUGGCUACGAGUCUAGCCUUAUAAGUCUCCACGUUCCCAUCAACGCCUAUCUUCCUCUUGAAAACCCAUUUGUUUCCAACAGGUACUAUACCUUCUGGAGGGUCUAUAAGAGUCCAGACCUGAUUUUGAUACAUGGAAUCCAUCUCGGAUUUCAUGGCCUCUUGCCAUCUCUUUGAAUCAAUGUCGGACAUUACUUCAGUGUAGUCCCUAGGGUCCUCAUUUAUGUCAUUGUCACCUAGAAUGUGCAAUUCUGCAAAGUUAUUGUCAAAGCCAUACCUCUUAGAUGGCUUACUAACCUGUUCAGAUCUACGUGAAGCUAAGGGUUCAGGAACAGGGUUGUCAACUUGUCGAGUGCUUGUUUGUGGUUCAUCAUUAAUCUCAUUAAUUUCCAUCUCUUUGCUUAUAGUUCCUUUGAGAACAAAUUCGUCCUCUAGAAACUUAGCAGUUCUGGCGACAAAGACUAAAGGGUCGUCAGGAUGGUAGAACUCAUAUCCCAUAGUUUCUCUAGGAUAUCCCACAAAAUAGCACCUUACUGAUCUCGCUUCAAGCUUAGUAGCUUCAAGCUUCUUGACAUAUGCUUCACAACCCCAAACUUAAUGUGAUUAAGACUUGGCUUUCUUCCAUGCCAUAUCUCAUAGGGCGUUUGUGAAACUGAUUUGGAAGGUACUCUAUUAAGCAAGUAAGCUGCUGUAUAUAGAGCGUAUCCCCAGAAUGUUACUGGUAGAUCGACGGAACUCAUCAUAGAACGAACCAUGUUCAUCAAGGUUCGAUUUCUCCUUUUAGAGACUCAAUUAAGUUGUGAAGUUCCCGGUGGAGUCCACUGUGAUAUUAUUCCACACUCUUUGAGAUAAUCUAAGAACUCAUUACUCAGAUAUUACCCCCUCGAUCCGAUCUUAGGAUCUUUAUCUGUUUCCCAGUUUGCUUCUCAAACUUCAUUCUUGAUUCCUGAACCUUUCAAAGGAUUCUGACUUGUACUCAUAAGAUACACAUGAGGCAAACCGUGGAACAUGUGAUCGUCGGGUGAAUGUAUAUAGUAGGAGCGCCUCAUCUCAACGUAGAUUAGACCAUUAGGUCCACAUAGUCAGUUUGUGGAUAACCAGAAUUUCCAAGUGGCACGUCACUUUUCCAGUAAAUUGGAGAAUUUGGUCAUCUUCCUUUCAAGCAACAUCAUGUUCCCAUUGGUCAUUACCUAAUGGGCGCUAUAUCCGUUCUUUCGACAUCUUGUGCUCUUAUCAAGGUUCACAUUCCAAGUUUAAGAUGCCACAUCUUUUCUUGGUUAACUUUCUUCCUCUAGCCUUUUGGGUUUUGAGGUAUUCCCGCCUGCAAUACAGGCAUCCCACUAUUCGGUUCUAGUUGAAAAGUCCUUAUCAUAUACAUGAGAGAUAAUACGACCGUUCAGUUAUAAAGUGCAACUCAUUUUGUCAAACAAUACUGAGGCCCUCUCGUAAAAGCUUAAAUGAAAUCAAAUUCUUUAUACAUGAAGGAAAAUAUUAAACAAUUUUUUAAGUUCCAGGACUUCCCCAGAGGGUAGGUUAACGCAUGUAGGUGCCUAUUGCUUUUAGAAUUUUAGUGGCCCGCUCCCAACUCGCACAAACCUCUCCCCAAUUUGCGCAGUGAUUUGCUCCCCGCAGGUCCCCUGCAUCGUAUUACAGAUAUGUUGACUUAGCGCUGAAUCAAAAUAUCCCAAAUUGGAAGCUCAGCUGUUAAAAAACUCUCUAUGACAGAAAUAGUCUUUUCAAAAAGUUCGUGUAUUAAGGUCGCAAUGCGCCCCUGAUUUCUUCUUUUCCAACGUUCAUCCUUUCCACAAUGAAAAGCAGUUCCUGAAUUUCUUUGCCUUCUUCUUAUGCAACCUUUCCUGGUUUGCAUUCUCACUCACUGUCCAUUUUGAAACCUUUUCAAAUUUACCGCCAUGUCAAUUAUCUCGUUUUAAAAAUGAUCAAUACUAUUCCUAUAUAUAGAUUACUACAUAUGAAUCAUCCGAGAGAGAUGCAAGGAAGUGUCUCCUGGGUCAUUCCCUAGAAGUCCUAAACUUUUUUCUUGAAAGAAUCCUUUCCAUCUUUUGUUCAUGUUUUAUGGACCGAUGUCCCCUUUGCCAUUUUGGCAUUCAUUAACUCCAAUUUGGAAUCGUACAUAAAAUACUAAGUCUCUUGUCAUGCAUUCUUAUUGCAAACUUUCAACCAUGCACAAGCAGAAGUGUCAUUGCUUAUGUAGCUUCAAAGGCUCUCACCAAGUGAAGUGGGAUUAAGCAUUUUGGCUUUGUAAGUCAUCCUUCAUAGUGUCUAACAUAAUUUUUGACACUCUUCUUUGAUGCUAGUUUCGUAGAGGUACAUGAGAGGGGAUUGCUUAAGCACUUACAAUAUGUCUCACCUUUGAGACAUUUCUCAAUGUGGCGAUUUACCAAGCAAGGAAACGUUGGCCCUUAGGCCCUUUUGUCAAGUAUUAAUGGUGGGAUUAUUUUUAGGAUGUCGUUAACUUACAAAACAUAACCAGGAAAUACCGUAUUUAUUGUUGUUUUUAACCUACUUGAUUGGGUCUAAAUCAAAUCAGUUAAACCCAACCUAAUUGCUUUGGCAUAAUACUAUCCCCAAUACAGAUGGUUCGAGAAUUUUUGACUCUAUGGCAGGGUAUCCGCAGGGACACUCUCAAAUUGGCCUACCGAACGCCCACCUCACGAUGAUACGAUUGUUGCGUUAGCAAAAAUAAUGAUGAGAGAAUACGCUUUAUUCAUUUACAAACUUUUGUAAAUACCCAUCCGUUUUGGCCGGAAAUGUUGCCUCACGAUUGAUACGAGUCGGCUCCAUUACUUAGUUAGUUAUUCCACAUGCUUAGUUUGUGAAGGGGUUAAAGAAUAUCCUCACGUGUACGUUGUCGGCUAUCCUCGUUGCUACACUCACUCAUCAUAUGUUUAUGGACUCUCCUGGAUGUAAGCACAUACUUUGAACUCCCCAUGGAUAGGGUGAAGCGGUGCAUGAGUCACAAACGAUUGGAGCCCACCACGGUGGAGGCCUAUGAAGAGAUGUUGAAAACAUCUCUCGCCUUAUCAACUUAAUAUUCGUUUGUUGGGGAGUUAGUUUGGGCUACAUCCAAAAUCAUUUUAAUUUCUUAUUAAAAGAACUUGGGCCUUAUUUCACAACUAUUGGUGCCAAGUUAAUAUGAAUUAAUUAUCUAGCAUUAAUAAUACUCCCACUGUUUCGUUGAAUACAAGCGAGGGGAUAUAUGAACUACUAACGAACGCAUUGUAUCCUCAUAUGGGACUAUAAAUCAUAUUAGGUUUUAGGCAUGAUUAUGAACCGUUUGAUUUGUCUAAGACGAGCCUUGGUUGCACUUGGGUUUAAGGUAGAUAGUUGUGAAUUUUAGUUAUGCGUUUAAAUCCAUUAAACCGUUAUUUCCAUUGGGGUUGGACCCAACUAUUCCAAAUUUGCAUACAAUUAAAACAAAUAGAAUAACAUGAAAUUAAUAAGAAGGGCUUAUGCCCUUUUACAACACCAAAUGAUGACUUAAUGUCCCAUUUACAAACAAAUUUGAAACUAAUCAAAUACAUUCAAUUCUACAUACUUAACCCAAACAUUCAUAAAUGUAAAACGGUCAAUCACAUUUAGCUCAAUUUAUCGAGGCCUUUGGUUCAUAAUCACCCUUUUUCUUAAUCAAUCACAUUAACUAAGAAAACAACUUUAACAAUUGGUUUUUGGAUCCAUAUAAUUGAUUUAAAUGGAACUAAAUGAAUGAAAAUCAAUCCAUAGGCAAGUUUUGUUCUCAUUGCUUUGGGAAAAUGGAAACAUACCACUUAAUUAUGCAGCCAAACUUUUGGUACUUUAAAUGACAAAAGUACAUUCAGUUUUUAGCAAGAGAAAAAAUUUUCUAAUGAAAAAAUUAAAAGGCAAAACAAUUUUUUUAGAGUUUUUGCCUAACUAAAACCGUAAAGUUAGGGCAAAGUGCAAUACACAAAAUUCAAAGUUUAUCAAUUGCAUAAAAGGCCCCAAAAGUUUACCCCCUGUUGUGGUCAUCGGGUGUGAACAUUAUUUAAAAACUUAAAUAUGGUGACUUAUUGUUGAGACCAAUACCAGAAUUCGUGGGUCCGGAAUUAAAGCAAAGGAUCUCAACCACUAUCAGAUAAAUAAUAACCAAAACUUUAUGAAAAACUACAAUACUUGUUUUUAAUAAAACUUCAAACUUAUGUUCUGUGGCAAACCACUUCAAAAACAUUGAAGAAACACUCAUAUAUUAAUAGUCGAUAAUGUUUUUACUCACCAAACCAAUUUUCCCACUUCCGUGAGGGCUAAUAUCCUUAGGAUACUUAGGGGUUAAAAGCACUUUAAACCAUUUUAAAACAAACAUGAACCAAAAAUACUUUGGAUUUCUCGACUUUCCAACAUAUGGAAUUUUGAUCAAUUAUCAUUACUGAAAUCUCUAAAACCAUUUGUAUGCUAAAUUUCUUCAAAAUUCAUAUUCCGCCAGAACAAAGUUGUAACAUUUACAACAUUUAAAUAAAUCAUGAAAUCACCCCCAAAGGAUAACCUAUAGGUUGUUCUUGAUACCACUUAAGAAAAAAUACGUAAAUUUUGUAAUAUGCCUCUUCAUUUAUAUCUUAAAAAAUGAACAUACUUCGUGUAGUAAUGACAAUAUCUUUCACAUAAUAGAUAGACUGAUUGAGCUAUCCUUGAUAAAAUAGUGGAGGUAAGUUUUGCGAUCUAGUGAUAGUGGUUAAUUUAAUGAGAUGAAAAUAAGUCUUUCUUUUUCCUGUGUGAGAUUGAAAGGUCCAAGAACUAGCUAGUAUGUUGAUUUUGAGAAAAGAGGAAAGUUUUCACUCAUUUUCACAAAGCUUUAUAAAGCAUAAGUUGAAUUUACUUCAUCAAUGUCUCAAACUUGUUAAUCGUUUUCUUUUCUCACCCUAAUGCCCAUAUCAAAUUGUGGGCUAAUUUGCCCAUUUGUUUUGGUCAUAACAACUUAAAACAUAUGGGCUUUGUGGACAAAAAGCUUGGGGCCCACCGACCCUAUAAGCCCAUACAUUGAAUAAUUCUUAAUGUAAUAUUUGCCAUUUUUCAAUAAAAUUUUAAUUGAUCCAUUUUUUAACCUCACCAACAUGUUAUUCGUGUCGAUCAUUAGGUUCCAUUUCAAAGGAACCUACUUUGCAAUUAAAAUGAAUUUAAAUUUUCUAAUCUUUUGGUUAACAAACCAUGAGUACACAAAUUUAUCAAAUGCAAGCUAAGUAUGUUUGGGGAACUCUUUCUAGUUAACAAUACUCAAUCGGGUCCUUUCUCUAAUAAUACCACACAUUGUUUGAGUGGUUUAUGUCAAUUCAAUUAACUUUAGAAAUUGAAUAUGAUAGAACAACUUCUAAUAUUCUCGCUGGCAAAAGACUUCGAACAUAUAAAGAGUUUCUUAACCAUUGAAGUAGAGAGUGGCAUAAAUGAUUAGAAGUUGACCGAUUCUCACUGAAUGCUAUGAUCAGAAAAUUAAAUACACUAUUUUCGUUUUGAUAUUGAACUAUUUUAAGACAUAGAACUAAUGAGUACUCGAUCACUCUGGGAACCUAUGUGUUUCUCGGUACAAUUAAAACAUUUGUACUCAUUGAGUGAAUCAGUUUCUAACCAGCUAUUCAAUCAGGAACCAUGGCACCUAUCCUAAGAUUCUCGUUAAUUGGUUAUUAAAACACUUAUCUAGAUCAAUACAUUUAUUUCUUAUCUUAAACACGAAUUUGAUUAACAAUAAGCUUUUCCCUCAUUAAAACAAUAUAAAAGUUUAAUACAAUAAGUAUCCAAAAGCUAUGACAUCAAAUGAGUGGCUUUGGUGGGGCAUUAUUCCAACAGUUUAGGGUUGAACUCCAGGUGAGUGGGCAGUUUUGUUUUCCAUAUAUACCUAUAUAAAUGAGAUUUUUCCCAGGAAAUCAAUUAAGUGAAAAUGUGAUAUGAAAUGCAUGCAAAAUUACAUGCCUAAUUAUUUAUGCUUAGUAAUUGCAUUACAUGCAUGAUUGAAAAUUAGUGCGCGGACGCACAGGUAAAUUGCCAGUUAAGUUCAUAAAUUAAAUAUGUAAUUAUUGAGGUGAUAUGAUGAAAGCUCAUAAACCUGCACUAGGGUGAUUGGUGAUUUAGUAGAGAUGAUUCAUGCCUGUUAUAUAUUAUAGUCACCCCCGCACUAUUAUCCACAAUUGGAUCUAAUUUAGGUGCCCAGUCUUGUUGUACAGACCACUAGAGUUGGGUUCCGAUCGUAGGUACUAGCGAUUAUUGCAUUAAGCUAUCAGGAGAGGAUAGGCAUGGAUUCAUAACUAUAUUUCGCCCAGUUCAGUCGCACAGACUUUUUGGUUUCCGACUCGUCUGCAGUGUAGUACCGUACAUGUCACUGGAUGACUCCGACUAGAUAAGAUUGAUUAUGAGCUGGUAGAUUCGCUUGUACAAGCCACUAUAGAAAGAUCGGUUGACAUUAUUUGCAAUGAGUUAGUUAUAUGAGUUUAUGAGAUAUAUAUUUUGCAUGGCAUUAUAAUUUCAAAUCACUUUUCUGAGUAUGUUGAAUGUAUACGUAUUACAUAUUUCUUGGAAAAUUAUACGGGUUUUACAACGAGGUUAAGCGUUUUAUAAUGAAAAAAUAAUUUUCGAAAAACUUUGUUUUAUGACCACUAAACUUUGUUUUGUGCCCCUCCAUGUUAAAAGAUAGCUAGAGCUUUGGUGCCGGGAUCCAACGUAUUCGACGAAAAUUCACAAAAGUAGGACUCCCCUCGGGUGUUACAUCUUAUUUAAUUGUAUCUUUAAGGCUUCCGAACUGUUUAAAUGUUACGUCCACUCUCACUGUGAGGCCAGCAUGCCCUUCUUCGGGGCGGAAAGUGUCAGUUGUAUCAGAGCCUUGGGUUGCAAGUCCUGGAAUUGAGAUUUCCCUAGUUCUUCCGUCGGAACUUUAAUGCCCUCUAGAUAGCCACUUUGUUUAGAUGAGCUUAGUUUCCUUGAUUUAACUUAGUUAUGGGAAACUACUACUAAUGUGAUUCAGUCUGUUGUCUAUCCUUCCCAAAUGACUCCUUUUGAGAAUGGUUAUAAGUUGAAUCUGAAUCACUUUAUGGAAAUGAAAGACCGGAGGGAGCAAAUCGAUGGCUUAAUCAUUUGGAAAAGGCGUUUCAGAUUCUGCAAGUUAAGGGAAUCUUUCUUUUGAAAGGUAGGUCGAGAUGACUACCUAGUUUCUGAGUAUUGAAUUUGCAUCCUGGUGUAGGCAGGAGUCUUAUUCGAUGUUGUCAGAGGACAUAACUGUUUGAGAGUUGUUUAAAGAAUUGUUUAAGAAAAGAUUUAUUCCACCGGCAUAUAUUGAUGAUAAGAAGCAGAAGUUCACAAAUUUGAGACAUUUUAGGAAGGAUGACGGCGAAUGAGUAUUAUAGAAAGUCUACAGACUUGCCUCGUUUCCAUUUGGAAGUUGUUGCUAAUCCGGUCGAGGUGUUAUGUCAUUUUAGGUUGGAUAAUAAGAAGAAGUGGCGUUCUUCGGCGACCACUAUUCAUUGUACUUCUUACCAGGAGUUUACGAGAUGCUGAGAAUUGAUGACUCUGAGAACAUGAUCAGCGAGAGUAAAGAAGAAUAAGAAAAGAAUGGGAAUCAUAGGAAAGACGAUAAAGUUAAAGAUCUGUCAUAUCAAGGACCUCGAAAGACUCAGAGUUUCAAAAGAAGUGAAGCUAGAGCUAAUUCUUCCAGCUGAGGUUUUAGUGCCACUGGUCAGAGGCGAAGUGAUAGAUUUACUGGUGACCCCAGAUCUGAGAUUUACUGGUGACCCCAGAUUUACUGGGCCGUGGGUACAGGGAUAUUUGAUGAGUUAUAAGUCCAGUCGUACAGGUCAUACUGGCUAACUCCGGCUGAUAUUUUUCUUAUUAUUGACAAUGUUGCCAAAGAGAGUAAUGUUGGAGAACAAUCGAGGCGUAUAUAUGUAUUUCUAAUGAAGAGCAAGAUGAUAAUAUUGCACCCUUGAGAAUUGUUGCUUACUUAUCGAGACAACAGUGAGUUAUCGUUAUUGCGGGCUGCAGACCAUAAUAUCCAUAACUUAUUUGUUGGAUUCGUUAAGCAAGUAAACAGGUAGGUCAUUCUAUGUCGGUUAUGAUUAUUCAGGGUGUCCAAUGAUGGUGGAAUAAGUAGUUAUGCCAGCGAAUCUUAUCCCGUUAGACAUUGUAGAUUUUGAUGUGAUUUUAGGCACAGAUUGGUUGCAUUAUAAUAGUGCCAAUAUGGAUUGCUACGGGAAAUCAGUUACUUUCCAUUGUCUUGGAUUAUCAGAGGUUACUUUUGUGAGUGAGCAAAGUGGAGUGAGGCAUGCCGUUAUUUCUGUUGUGAGAGCAAAGAGAUUGUUAUCAAAAGGUUGCCAAGGAUACCUAACUCAUGUGGUGUUGCAGGAUCGUACUCUUAAUAUUGUGUGACGUAUGAGUGGUAGACAUUUUCCUAAUGUGUUUCCGGAAUGAUUUACCUGGAUUGCCACCAGACAGAGAUGUGGUGUUCACUAUUGAAUUGUCUCGAAGUACAGAUUUUAUGUUAUAGAUUGGUUCCUACAGAGUUAAAGGAAUUGAAAAUUCAGUCAUAGGAAUUGGUUGAUAAAGGUUUCAGUCAACCUAGUACGUUACCUUGGAAAACCCCAGCUUUGUUUAUAAGGAAGAAAGACGGGACCUUAAGAAUAUGUCUGGAUAUUAGGUAUUUGAAUCGGGUAACGAGUAAGAACCGUUAUCCAUCGCCGCGCAUUGAUGAUUGUUUGAUCAACUUAGAGGUGCCUAUGUGUUUUCAAGGAAAGAGUUAAGGUCUGGUAUACUCUUAAGUUGAAAGUAAAGCAUGCUAGUCAUUUUGAGUUGGUGUUGCAAUGUUUGAGGGAACAUUGGUAGUAUGCAAAGUUUGACAAAUGUCAAUUUUGGACGAAUCAAGUGACAUUUCUAGGACAUGUUAUAUCCGCUUAAGGUAUUCAAGUGGAUCCUUAAAAGGUAGCAGCGAUUGAUAAUUGGGAACAACCUCAAACCAUCACUGAGGUACGGAGUUUUCUUGGCCUAGUAGGGUAUUAUAGACGGUUUGUGAAAGAUUGUUCAGUCGUUGCUUUGCCAUUAACGAGAUUGACUAGAAAAGAAGUUAAGUUUGAAUGGAUUGAGAAUAGAAGAACGAGAAGUAGCCUUACUUGCUAGUUCCAAGUUAGGCCUAUUUUGGUUGAUCGUAUACUUGAUGCCCAGAUGAAUGAGGAAGAAAUUCAAGAAUUAAUUGAGGCAAGGAAUAAAGGGAAAAAGAAAGACCUUAUAGUUAGAGAAUCAGAUGGCAUACUUAUGCAAGAGAACAGGAUGUAUGUGCCUAAUGAUGUGGAAUUAAAGAAAGCAAUUUUGAUGAUGCACACUGUUCAGCUCAUGCAAUGCAUCCAGGAGGUACUAAGAUGUAUCAUACCCUUCAACCGUUUGAUUAUUGACCGGGUAUGAAAAAAGGAAAUUGCUGAGUAUGUAAGUAGGUGGAUCAUUUAUCAGCAAGUUAAAGUGGAAAGAAAGAAGCCUUUUGGAUUGAUGCAGUCACUUCUCGUUCCACAGUGGAAAUGGGAAAAUAUUGCUAUGGAUUUUGUGUACAAGUUUCCUCGUAUACGAAAUGGUUAUGAUGGCAUUUGGGUGUUAGUUGAUUGGCUUUCUAAGUCAGCUCACUUUAUUCCAGUGGGGGAAAAGUAUUCUUUAAACUGAUUAACUGUAAUUGUUUAUAUCGAAGUUUGUAAAGUACUAUAGAGUGCCAAUGAGUAUUAUUUCAGAUCGUGACCCAUGGUUACUUCUAAGUUUUGGUUGGCAUUUCAGGAGGCUUUGGAUACAAGGCUACUUUAUAGUACGGUUUAUCAUCCUUAAAUAGAUAGGCAAUCUGAGAGGACGAUUUGGAUGUUGAAGGAUAUGCUAAGAUCUUCAAUAUUGCAGUUUGGUGACGCUUGGCAUAAGCGGUUGGAUUUGAUGGAAUAUGCCUACAACAGCAGCUUUCAUUCGAGUAUGGGAAUGAUACCAUUUGAGGCAUUAUAUGGGGAAACUUGUAGUGCACCUUUGUGUUGGUCAAAAGUUGACGAAAAAGUUUUAGUGGGCCCUAAUAUUGUGGAUGAGACUACUCAGAAUGUUCAAAUGAUUAAGUCUGACUUGAAAGCAGCCAGGAUCGACAAAAGAGCUUAGUAGACAGACAUGCCAUUGAUCGGGUGUAUAAUAUAGGUGAUUGGAUGUUUUUUAAAUUAUCACCUUGGAAAGUAUGGUUCGGUUUGGAAAGAAAAAUAAGUAAGUCCUAGAUACAUCAGACCAUAUGUGAUCACCGAAAGAGUCGGUGAAGUUACUUAUAGGCUUGAGUUGCCUCCAGAGUUGUCGAAAGGGCACGAUGUGUUUCAUAUUUCGAUACUUCGACAUUACAUCUCAGAUCCUUCACAUGUGAUACCUCCUUAACCUUUGGAAGUCAAUAUGGAUUUGACGUAUAAUGAGGAGCCAGUGACUAUCUUGUAUUGGAAAGACAUUGUGCUGAGGAAUAAGACAAUGAGUUUGGUGAAAGUUUAUGGAGCAAUCUUUCAGCGGAAGAAGCUACUUGGAAGUCAGAGAAUCGGCUGAGAGAGAUCUAUCCCAGAUUAUUUUAUGGUUAUUGAUGAAUUGUAAUUAUUGUGUGAAUUUCAAGGAUGAAAUUCUAUAAGGUAGGUAGAUUGUCACAGCCCGUCCCUGAUUUUACGAAAAUGCCCUAGAGGUGAAGGGUUUUUGACUUUUGUUGACCAAUGUAUAGUGAGAAGUACGAACUUAUUUCAGCGUAUUCCUGAAGUACUCGACAAUACGAGCAGAAGGGGUUUUGGAGUUACGGUUAAAGUUUUAUGGAACUCUAAUCUGAGAAGUACUUUUACUUUGGUUAAUAUAUACAUAUAUUUAUUUAUGUGUUAUUAUUUUUAUUAGUUGUUAUUAGAAAUUGGAAAAGAAAGAGGAAGGCAUCAGGAAGAAAGGAAAACAGAGGAAAAGGAGAAAAAGAGAGAUUGGGCAAAGCUGCCCAAUUGGAGAAGAAGAAGGAGAGGCCGAAUGGGGAGAGGAUAGAGGAAGCUGAUUGGCCAACCAGAAGAAGGAAAGGAGGGAAAGGAGGAUGAAGGAAAAUGAGAGGAUCGACUGGAUCCUGUCGACCCACGCGCACCUAACCCAUCGACCCAGUGAAAUUCUGACGGUUCUGAGAUAUUUUUCAGGUGAUUUUCAUCCCAUCUCCACCUGCAAGCAUCACCACAUCUCUUCUCCUUCAUUUUUCUCUCAAGAUUCGAUGGAAAUUGGGUCAAAUCUGUGACAUUUGGCGAUGGUGACUCCGGCAGGUCUUGCGUCGAUUCUCCCAAUUCUGAAACAAUUUCUUCCGAUUGACACUACACAUACACUUCCCUUGAGGCCUAGAACAAUGCCCAAUUGUUGGUUGGAGCGGCGAAGUUGAAUUGAGGACGAAUUAAAUAACACCACAUGUAGGGUUUCGUACGGUUUUGGCAAAAUUGGAGUUUUUCCAGGUCAAACUGGCCUUGGCCUCAGGUAUAAAGUUUAUUCUACUCAUUGAGAUCUUCAUUUCUGUAAAUUUUGGUAAUUUGGAGAUAGUUGGAUUUUCCGGUGAGCCGGGGUGGCCCGUACGGCGGUGCAUGGCCAGUGGCCCGCCAAUGUUAUUCUUAGCAUGUGUUUAAUGUUCUAGGUUUAGUUUUGAUAAUUGAUUGACGUAAAUUGAGUAAUUGAACCUAAGUUCGUUACGAUUCGUGGUUAGGUGAAAAUGUGAAUUGACGAUCCAACCAUUGGAUCGUCACCAAACUUUGACACAUUGUAAUACGUAAUAUUUGAGGAUUAUAGGAAAUUACGGAUUGGGAAUCCGAUUUAUGGAUCUUCCGAAAUUGGAGUUGUAAGUUCAUAAAAUAGAAUGUUAAUCGUCACUUGGUUUUGACAAUUGACGGAGAUCCGACUGUCGGAUGGUAAGGAAAUUUUAGGAUGUUGUUCUAGAGAUAUAUUGUGGACCUCUAGAAGUUAUGGAUUGGAAAUUUGAGUUGCAGAUCUUCCGAAUCGAACUACGUAGUGUCAUGUUUUAUAUAAGUUAUAUAUUCUAUCGAUAUGAUUUCUGAGGUUUGAUUUGAUGAUUGUUCUAGGCGCCAAUCAUCAUGACGCCUUGAUGUGUUGUGCUAGGGAGUUGUAGGGUGAACUCCAAGUGAGUGGGCAGUUUUGUUUUCCGUAUAUACCUAUAUAAAAGAGAUUUUUCCCAGGAAAUCAAUUUAAGUGAAAUGUGAUAUGAAAUGCGAUAUGAAAUGCCAUGCAAAAUACAUGCCUAAUUAUUUAUGCAUUAGUAAUUGCAUACAUGCAUGAUUGGUGCUACGGACGCACAGGUAAAUGCAGGUAAGUUCAUAAAUUAAAUUAUGUAAUUAUUGAGUUGAUAUGAUUGAAAGUUCAUAAACCUGCACUAGGGUGAUUGUGAUUUAUUAGAGAUGAUUCAGGCCUGUAUAUAUAAAGUCACUCCCGUACCAUAUGCUCACAAUUGGAUCCAAUGUGGGUGCCCAGUCUUGUCGUACAGACCACUAGAGGUGGUUCCGAUUCGUAGGUGACUAGCGAUUUAUCGCAUAACUAUCAGGAGAGGAUAGCGUGAGCAUAACUAUAUUUCACCCAGUUCAGUCGUACAAACCUUUUCAGGGGUGGGGGUUCCGACUCGUGUGCAGUGUAGUUACAGAUCACUUGCGAUGACUCCGGCUAGAUAAGAUUGAUGAGAUUGAUUAUGAGCUAUAGAUUCGCCGUACAGGCCACUAUAGGUGGAUCCGGUUGACAUAUUAUUUUGCAUGAGUUAGUUAUAUGAUUUGAUGAGAUAUAUAUUUGGCAUGGCAUAUAAUUCACAUAUCACUAUUUUUUAGUAUGGUUUUGAGACAAGUAUACAUAUUACAUAUUUCUGGAAAAGUAUACGGGUUUUACAGCGAGGGGUUAGCGUUUUGAUAAUGAGAUGAUUUUCCAAAAACUUUGUUUUACUGACCCACUAAACUUUCUUUUGCGCCCCUCCAGGUUCAAGAUAGCAGAGCUUUGGUGGCCACGAGGAAUCCAACGGUGUUCUGACGGAAUUCACAAAAGUAGGACUCACCCUCGAGUGUUACAUCUUAGUAAUUGUAUCUUUAAAGCUUCCGAACUGUGUAAAUGGUUACGUCACUCUCACGUGACGGCCAGCAUGCCCUCCUUCGGGACGGGAUGUGUAAUAGAAAGUGAAGAACAAUAGGGUAGGAAACAUAAACCAGAUAAAGAGAAAUUGUUGGAUUUCACACUUCAUUCAUUAUCAUAUGCUGAUUAUAUAAUACAUUAUCAACAAGGGUCCUAUAUAAGAUUAGAUUACAUGAGAGAAAAUUCUAAGUAUACAAGUAACAAAUGAAUAGUGUAUGUGAUCUAGGACUCUAGAUUAACAACAAUGAAGAAGCAACAACCAACAACCAAUAAUCAACAACCAAUAACAGACAGGGAAGAACAACUACUUCUUUGAACUCAAUUAAAUAUCUCAAAUAUUUACGAUUUGUUUAAUAUUUUGCAAGGAUGAUCUAUGAGGUCCAACUUGAAAAUAGAUGGUUCGGAUAGUUGAAGUUUAAUUUGGUGUGGGCCCCACAACUAAUUACUAUUUUAAAGAAAAAUGGGGAUCCCUUCCCUUUGGAGUUAUACUUAACAUGGGAGGAGUAAUAAUGCUGAAAGUUAAGAGCCCGGAUGACAAUUGUUUUGUUUUUGGAUUUUAGUUUUAUUUUUUAUACUUGAGAUAAUAUGUGUGGGACAUGAGAGAUGAAGAAGUCGGUAAAAGAGAAUGUAAAAAGGGAAAUUUUAUUUGAACCCAUAUAACCUCUUUCUAAACCCAACUUAAAUUUUAAAUGUGAAAUGUCUUUAUUAACCCAUUGCAUAAUUACCAUCAAGUACAUGAUAAAAUUAUUAAUAAAAAUUAUAUUUAUUAAUAAACCCACAUCCAAUAAUCAAACCCUAAUCAUCACGUACUUUUUCUGUUACGUUCUAUUGUGAUAAAAACCUAAUAAAUUGGCUAAUACCUCUUUAAUUUAAUUAAAACUUUGUUCCCUAGAUGAGUUUUGAGAGUAGACCCUCAGUAAUGAUUUUAAACCAAGUACAGUAUAAUCGCAUGCUUUUUUAACUAACGAGGUUAAAAUUUUGUGUGGACAAUUCCUUGAUUAGUUAGAAAUUACAUGAUAUCGAAGUUUUUUUGGUUGAGCAUAAUGUGGUGUUCAUAAACUCAUAAUGUUAUAAGAAAAUGUGGUUCUUCAAUUUACAGGUAAAGACCCAUCCCUAAUUUUCCAUGUAAUUUUCUCCCCGAGUGUGUAAAUUGACGUUUACGCCCUUUUUGGCAAAAGUAGAACCUGACAUGGACGUAGUUUUUCGGCUUUUAAAAUAUCUUCUCGUUAUUGUAAUUAAAUAGUACUUAUUGUUACGAAUGCAUGAGCACAAGUUAGAGCCGACACGGACUUGUAACGAAAAAGUUACGUUUAAUUAAAAUGCGUUAAUAAUGGGUAAAUUUGUACACGUGUGCGUUAAUUUUUCAGUGUAGGAAACACUGUUUUUGAUAAGGGGACAUAUUUUGUGUAAUCUAAAAUUGUACAAAAUCUUAUCUUUUUCCCUUUUUUUAAAACAUGUCUGGUGCCCUUUUUCCCUCACCCACCAAUCAACUUUAUUCCCAUUUCUUCUCACCCAAUCAGACAUCACUUCCUCUCUUUUCUUUUUAGCCAAUCAGAAAAACUCUCUCUCUCUCUCAUCUUCUCCUUCUCUCUCUCCCUCACCGUAACUCUCAUCUCUUUGAAACACCAAGGAUAACCAUCAAACUUCAUAGAUCGAGCCUAAAAUUACCACCAUCGUGUUCCUCUCAUCCUCACGAAUACAUCCGUAUGAACCGAUUAAGAAAUGGACGAGUUUUGAGUGUCCAACUCAAAGCAACUUGGAGCUCCGACUUGGGUGGAGUUUUCCCCGAAGUUUUUCAGUUCGAGUUACAAGAUUUUGGGAGUUUUGGAAGCAUCUAGGCAACUCCCCGAGGCCAUUAGGCUAGUUUAGAAGUGGAGCCGACGAGGAAACCCAUGGGUAAGAGAAGUUGAGUUUAGGUCUGAGGCUAUCAAGUGUAUUUUGAUCUAUUCCCUGUCCAUUUUUGGACUUUUGAAAGGUACAAUCUUGUUCUACUCGUCACAAGCUUCAUUUUUAUAUAAAGUUUGUAAAAAAUGGUUGAGAAAUGAAGGAGAUAUGAAGUUUUGAAUUUUUUUCUAGAAUCCAGCGAACCAGACAGCGGCGCCUAAACCAGCGGAUGACGGAGGACCAUCGGAGAAGAGAGAGAAUAUUCCAUCAAAGUUGACAAAAUAUUCUAACGCCGUUAGGUAACAUCGUUAACUGACACCGUUACCGUUAGCUGAAUAUUUCGUCAAGUCUGACAAAAUAUUCCCUAGGUCUGACAUCAUGUGACCUGCGCGUGGGAGUGCAUGUGGCCAUGGGCUAGGCAACGCAUGAGGGCGCGUCCGACUUCCGGCCAACAUGUGGUUGACGUGUACGCGUUUGUGACUUCGUGUAGAACAUUUUUGUAUGUUUAAAUCCUUUGUUUAAGUAAAUUAUGGCUAUAUUGAAAUCAGUGAGUGGGCAUUUGUUUAUAUAUAUAUAUAUAUAUAUAAAGUUUUAUAGUUUCCACAUAUGCUUUUGUAUUGAUUUAUGCCUAUCAUGCCAUGUUUUAUUUAAUUUUAUAAAUGUUAUUACGUGGUUGAGAUUUAUAUACUAUCAUGGCAUGUUCAUAUACAUUUUACCUGCUUAUCAUACAUUGUGUUGGAAGUAUGCCCACAAAGCCACUCAUUUGAUGUAAUAGCUUUUGGAAUACUUAUUGUAUUAAACUUUUAUAUGUUUAAUGAAGGGCAAAGCUUAUUGUUAAUCACUAUUUAUUGUAUCAUGUGUUUAAGCAAUAAGGGAAUCCAAGGAAUGUAUUUGAUCUAAGAGAUAAGUGAUUUAAGUAAGUUAGAUUAUCGAGACCUUUCUCUUAUGUUCUUUCCUAAAACGUUCCUAGCCAUAGGAUUGCCAAUUGGGCAUUGACAAUCCGCUAAGGUUAGUAUGUGUUAUGUCGACUCAAGCGUGAGUAUGACUAGUCUCAUGUCAUUUAGUGUUGGACACUAAGGCAAACACAUAGGUGCUCGAAAUAGUGAUCGAAUACACUGAACAACGAUCAAAAGAGAGUUCGAAUAUACAUGUCAUGUAAGAACUCAAAAGUUCCAAUAUGCAAAGUAGUCCUUUAACUUGAGGCAUCAUUAAUGUCUAAUGGUUAGGUCCUUGAUCUUUGAUCAUGUUAAAGGCAUUCCAUUGGAGUGUCCACGGCAUUAUUGUGGUCAAGCUACCUAGUCAUGUAGGCAUAUGAAUGCACAACAAGGAAUCUCUAACCUUCCAUUGUGGAAGGAGAAUACUUUAAGAUAUGAUUCGAGAGUCUUUGGCCAAAGCAUAUGAAUAUGACUUAGGAAGUUUGUUCCAAAUCAUAUUCAAUUGAAUCAUAUAGAUAAGUAUCACAUUGGAUAGUAGACAUGAAACAAACUAUCACCUGAAACAAUGUGAUUAAGAGCAUUGUAUUAGAGAAGGACCGUAUUGCAUUGUAGUUGUAACUGGAUAGGUUCUCCAACCACUUCUACUUAGCUUGGGUAACCAUGAUAUGCUGCUAGGUGUCACUCAUGAUUUGUGGAAGCCCUAAAGAUUACCAAACACUAAUUUUAAGGGAGAAUUGAAAUGUGGUUUCAAUUCACAAUCGAUCGUUAAGAGUAACAAUCGCCCACUAGCUCGCUAAAUGGAUCCUAAUGGAUCGUACACCGAGUAAGGAUGUUGGUGAAGAAAUUAAAUGAAAUGGAUAAGCAAUUAAAUGGUUUAAUUGAAGAAUGGUCAAGGUUAAUUAAUUAGUUAAUUAAUUAUACGAAAUGUUCGUAUUGGGCUUAUAUGUUGGUUUUGGGUUUCGGGGCCCAAAAAUGUUUUGGUCCACAAGGCCCAUUAUGUUUAAGUUGUAUGACAACUAAAACAAAAUGGGCAAUUAGCCCAAUCAAUUUGAUAUGGCCGGCCAUUAGGGUGAGAAGUGUCAAACUUGGAUUAAUUACAAGUUUGCCACUCACAUGUGAUGAAGUAUAAAUUCAACUUUAUAGCUUUAUUUUCAUUUAGGGUUUUCUUUGAGGCAAAGAGGUGAAACAUUUUCUCUCUUUUCUCUACAAGGAGGCCGGCCACUUAGAGAGGAUUUAGCUAGCAAUAUUUUCUUCUCUAAGUCAUCCAUUUCAUCUUCACAUCUCAUCCUUGGUGUGGAGACUUAGAGACACCAAACCUUUGGUGUUUUUGGAGAUCCUUUCCUUACAUCCUCAAGGAGCAAAGGAGCACAAAAGGGAAGGAAAUCACAAGGAAGAUCCAAGGAACUAGGAGGUGACUUGAAGGCCCUCCACUUGGGUGAAUCCCUUGUGUAAACAAGGAUGAGCUUCAAGGGUAAUAAAUCUCUAAAUCUUACCUUCUCUUUAAUGUUGUUAAAGAGUCUUAUGGUUCACCAUUCACUAGGCUUUGAAAGUCAUGGGUUUUAUGAAUUUUUUUGAAUGCAUGCCUAUUUUAAUGUGUUAAUAGUUUGCAUAUGUAUUCAAAUGUUCUUACUUGUUCUUAGUUAGGACAAAAUUUUUCCUCCAAGUGGUAUCAGAGCCUAGGCUAGUUUAUGGUGAAUCCUUUUGGGUUUUGUGAUUUUUCAUGAUUUGUGAUUUAAAUGUUGUAAAUGUUACAAGCUUUGUUCUUGCUUUGAAUAUAAAUUUUGCUUGAAAAUUUAGCAUCUCAAAUGUUGUAGAUGUAUUUCAUUUAAGCAUGAAUAUUGGAACUAAAAUUUGGUGCCAUGUUUGUUGGGAAAUUCGGCCAUAUCCAAAGGGUGGUUUUUUGGGUUCAUGUUUGUCUUGUUAAAAUGGUUUUAAAGUGACUUUUGGAACCCCUAAGUACCCUAGGAUAUUAACCCUCUUUUAUGUUGUGAAAAUUUGAGUUUUAAUGAGUGAAAACAUUCAUGGAGCUCUUAUGAGUUUUCAUGUGUGUUCUUCAAUGUUCUUGAGUUUCUUACCAAGAACAAAAAGGUUUGGAAUUUUGAUUCAAAGUGUUUGGUGUUUUUCAUAAAGUUUUGGUUUAUUUUUUAUGGGUGAUGGAUUAUUGGUGAGGAUGAUAAAUGCUAUUAAUGUUUCACAAAACAUUUCUCUUACAACCCAUCUCAUUCACCUUUAUCCUCACCCACCUAUUUCACUUGCAUAUUGCACAUGCAUGCACCACUUGCACAAAAUCCCUUUCACACUCCUUUUCACUCUAAAAACCGGCCAACCCCAAGUGGGGGGUAAUUUUGGGCCUUUUGUGCAAUUACAUAAAGUUUUGAUACUUUUGUGUUUUUGUAUUUUGGCCCAAAAGUUUACGUUUUUACGUUAAGGCCCAAAAACUCUAAAGGACAAAUUGUUUUGCUCCUUUAAUAAUGUUUUUACAUUAUUAAAAUUUUGGGUUCUAGUUGUAAUUACAUGAAGUUGUGGACUCUUGUGUUUUUACAAAGUGACCCCAAAAGUUUUUGUUUAUUAAAUAAUGGCCCAAUUGUUGAGGUCAUUGUUUUUGGCCCAAAUAAGAUGAGAACAAAAUGGUUUUGUCUCUUUAAAUGAGAAUUGGAUUUUCAUUUUAUUUAGUUCCAUUUAAAUCAAUUCUAUGAAUCUGAAAACCAAUUGUUUAAGUUGCUUUCUUAGUUAAUGUGAUUGAUUAAGAAAAGGGUGAUUAUGAACCAAAGGCCUCGAUAAUUGAGCUAUGUGAUUGGCCGCUUUACAUUAUGAAUGUUUGGGUUUAGUAGUGUAGAAUUGAAUGUAAUUUGAUUAGUUCAAAUUUGUUGUAAAUGGACAUAAGUCCAUCAUUUGUGUUGUAAAAGGGCAUAAGCCCUUCUUAUUAUUUCAUGUAUUCCUUUUUUGUUUAAAUGUAUGCAAAUUGGAAUAGUUGGGUCCAACGCCCAAUAGGAAAUAACGGUUUAAUUAGAUUAAACGCGUAACUAAAAUCAACAACUAUCUACCUUAAACCCAAGGUCCAACACAAGGCUCGUGUUGGAUCAAAUCAAACGGUUCAUAAUCAUCCUAAAACCUAAUAUGACUAUAUAGUCCAUAUGAGGAUGCAAUGAGUUCGUUAGUAGUUCCAUAUAGUCUAGCUUGUUUCAACGAAACAGUGGUAGUAUUAUAUGCUACUAAUUCAUAUUAACUUGGACCAAUAGUUGUGAUAGGCCCAAGUUCUUUUAAUAAGAUUAAAAUGAUUUUGAUGUAGCCCAAUACCACUCCCUCAACAAAACGAAUAUUAAGUUGAUAAGCGAGAGAUGUUUUGAACAUCUCUUCGUAGGCCUUCCACCGUGAUGGGCUCCAAUCGUUUGUGACUCAUACACCGGCUUUACCCUAUAAUGGGGAAGUUCAAAGUAUGUGCUUACAUCCAGGAGGAGUCCAUAAACAUAUAUGAUGAAGUGAGUGUAGACAACGAGUAUGACCAACAUGAUAUAAUUAUGAGGUUGUGCUUGAACCCCUACAUCAACUAGCAUGGUGGGAAUGACUUAACUAAGUGCAAUGGUGCCAAAAUGAUAUAAUUCUGAGGCAAUCAUUCUCUAGAGGCCAAAACAGAUGGGUAAUUACAAAAGUUGUAAAUGGCUAAGAGUUAUCCUCUCAUCAUUAUUGUUGCUAGCCAAAAUGAUAUAAUUCUGAGGUGGGCUUGGUAAUGAUGAGCCUCCCAUACCCCGCUAAGAGUUCAUCACAACUCUCGAAUUCCAUUGAGGGAUGUGGAAUUUGCCAAAAAUAGUGGGUGGUACUAUUUGAUUUAAGACCCAAUCAAGUAGUUUUAAAAUCAACAAUCUAAUACGAUUUCUGUUAUGUUAUGUAGUUAACGACAUACCUAAAAUUACACCCACCAUUAUACUUGACAAGAAGGGCCUUAGGGGCCAACGUUUCCUUGCUUGGUAUCGCCAUAUUGAGAAUGUCUCAAAGGUGAUAGACAUAUUGUAUGUGCUUAAGCAAUCCCCUCAUCAUGUACCUCCUACGAAACUAGCUUCAAAGGAGGAGUGUCAAAAUUAUGAUAGACACUAUGAGGAUGACUUACAAGCCAAAUGCUUAAUCCUCACUUCACUUAGUAUGGAGCUUAUGAAGCAACAUGAGCACAUGGACACUUCUUGUGCCAUGGUUGAAAGUUUGCAUAAGAUGCAUGACAUUAAGACUAGUAAUGUACGAUUCUCAAAUGUUUGUAGUCUAUUGAAUGCCAAAAUGGCAAAGGGGGCAUCGGUUCAUAAACAUGGACAAAAGAUGGAAAGGAUCUUUCAAGAUCUUGAAAGUUUAGGAACUUCCAUCGAUGGGAAAAUGGCCCAAGACUUUUUCCUUGCAUCUCUCUCGGAUGAUUUCACUAAGUUUAUUGUAAACUAUAAAGUGAAUAGAUUCAAUCAUACUUUUACAGAGAUGAUUGACAUGUGCUGUAAGUUUGAACAAGGUUUCAAAAAGGACAGUGGGAGUGAGAAUGCAAUCACAAGGAAAAGGUUGCAUAAGAAGAAGGCAAGAAAAUCCAAAGAAACAUGCUUUCACUGUGGAAAGGAUGAACGUUGGAAGAAGAAAUACAGGGUGCGUAUUGCGAGCCUUAUGACAAGAACUUUUGAAGGGACUAUUUCUGUCAUAGAGAGUGUUUUUACAAUGAGCUCCAAUUCCUGGAUAUUUGAUUCAGGCGCUAGUUAACAUAUCUGCAAUUCGUUGCAAGGACUAACAGGGAGCAGGACAUUGCGCAAUGGGGAGAUGAUUGUGCGAGUUGGGAACGGCACUAAGAUCUCUGCUAAAGCAAUAGGCACCUACAUGCUUAAACUGCCCUCUGGGGAAGUCUUGGAACUUAAAAAUUGUUUAUAUUUUCCUUCAUGUAUAAAGAAUUUGAUUUCUAUCUCUAAGCUUUUAUGAGAUGGGCACUCAGUAUUGUUUGACAAAAUGAGUUGCACUUUAUACUUGAACGGUCGUAUUAUCUCUCAUGGUAAUAUGAUAGAGGGACUUUUUCACCUAGAGACAAACAGUGGAAUGCACUGUAUUGAAAGCGGGAAUACCUCAAAACCCAAAAGGGCUAGAGAAGAAGUUAACCAAAUUAGACUUUGGCAUCUUAAACUUGGACAUGUAAACCAAGAUAAGAUUCGCAAGAUGUCGAAAGACGGAUAUCUUAGUCCAUUAGGUAAUGACCUCAUGGGCACUUGUGAACCUUGUCUACUUGGGAAGAUGACCAAAUCUCCAUUCACUGGGAAAGGAGAGCGUGCCACUGAAAUUCUUGGGUUAAUCCACACUGACGUAUGUGGACCUAUGUCUACUACGUCGAGAGAAGGCUUCUCCUACUAUAUCACAUUCACCGACGAUCACUCUCGGUUUGGCUAUGUGUAUCUUAUGAAGUACAAGUCAGAAUCCUUUGAAAGGUUCAAAGAAUACAAGAAUAAAGUUGAGAAGCAAACUGGGAAACAGAUAAAGAUCCUAAGAUCAAAUUGAGGGGGAGAGUAUCUAAGUAACGAGUUCCUAGAUUAUCUCAAAGAGUGUGGAAUAGUAUCACAGUGGAGUCCACCAGGAACUCCUCAACAUAACGGAGUUUCUGAGAGGAGAAACCGAACCUUGAUGAACAUGGUUCGUUCUAUGAUGAGUUCCGCUGAUCUACCAAUAUCAUUAUGGGGAUAUGCACUACACACAGCAGCUUAUUUGCUGAAUGCAGUGCCUUCUAAAUCUGUUCCACAAACACCAUAUGAGAUAUGGUAUGGGAAGAAGCCAAGUCUUAAACACGUUAAGAUUUGGGGUUGUCCAGCAUACGUUAAGAAACAAGAUGUUGGAAAGCUUGAAGCAAGAUCUGUUAAAUGCUAUUUUGUGGGGUAUCCUAAACAAACCCAUGGAUACGAAUUCUAUCACCCUGACGACCAGAAAGUCUUUGUCGCCAGAACUGCUAUAUUCAUGGAGGAUGAAUUCGUUCUUAAUGGAACUAGCAAAACAAAGAUAGAAUUGAAGGAAAUUAAUGAGAUUAAUGAUGAACCGCAAACAAGCACUCGAGAAGUUGACAACCCUGUUCCUGAACCCCUAGCUCCACGUAGAUCUGAAAGGGUUAGUAAGCCACCUAAGAGGUAUGGCUUAGAUAAUGACUUUGGGGAAUUGCACCUUCUAGGUGACAAUGACACAAAGGAAGAUCCUAGAGACUACACUGAAGCAAUGUCCGACAUUGAUUCAAAGAGAUGGCAAGAGGCCAUGAAAUUCGAGAUGGAUUCCAUGUAUCAAAAUCAGGUCUAGACUCUUGUAGACCCUCCAGAAGGUAUAAUACCUGUUGGAAACAAAUGGGUCUUCAAGAGGAAGAUAGGCGUUGAUGGGAACGUGGAGACUUAUAAGGCUAGACUAGUAGCCAAGGGUUACAGGCAAAUAGAAGGGAUUGACUAUGAAGAAACCUUUUCUCCUGUAGCCAUGAUUAAGUCCAUUCGGAUUUUACUUGCUAUAACUGCGUACCAUGAUUAUGAGAUCUGGCAAAUGGACGUGAAUACGGCCUUUCUGAAUGGCUACCUAGAGGAAGAGCUUUAUACGACUCAACCCGAAGGUUUCGUGUCCAAGUCUGAAAAGACUAAGGUAUGCAAGCUUCAGAGGUCCAUUUAUGGACUUAAGCAAGCCUCCAGGAGCUGGAACAUUCGUUUCGAUACUGAAAUCAAAACCUUUGGUUUUACUCAAAACGAAGACGACAAUACGACAAUUGUGUUUAUCAAAAAGUCGUUGGGGAUGCAGUGGUAUUCCUAGUGUUAUAUGUAGAUGACAUAUUACUAUUCGGGAAUGACACUGCAGUACUUUCUUCUGUAAAAGUGUGGUUGUCCAAAACCUUCCACAUGAAAGAUUUAGGAGAUGCAUCUUAUGUACUUGGGAUAAAGCUCUAUCGUGAUAGAUCCAUAAAAUUAAUUGGAUUAUCCCAAUCUAUGUACAUUGAUAAGGUGCUAAGUAGGUUCCAGAUGGAACAAUCUAAGAAAGGUUUUCUUCCUGUGAGACAUGAAAUUCACCUUUCUAAGUCCAUGGAACCUAAGACUCCUGAAGAGAUACGGCAAAUGAGUAUUGUUCCUUAUGCUUCAGCCAUAGGAAGUCUCAUGUAGGCCAUGAUAUGCACAAGGCCGGAUAUCGCAUAUGCUGUGAGCAUUACUAGUCAAUACCAAUCUAACUCAGGAUCAGAACACUGGGCAGCUGUCAAGACGGUCCUUAAGUACUUAAGAAAAACUAAGGACAUGUUCCUCGUUUAUGGAGGAGCAACAGAGUUGCGAGUGGAAGCCUAUACAAAUGCAGAUUUCCAAUCUGACGUCGAUGAUAGAAGUUCCAACUCCGGAUAUGUAUUCACUCUAAAUGGUGGGGCUAUCAGUUGGAAGAGCAAGAAACAAAGUGUAAUUGCAGAUUCUACGACAGAGGCUGAAUAUGUCGCUGCAGCUGAAGCCGGCAAAGAAGCCUUCUGGAUGAAGAAGUUCAUAAAUGAACUUGGAGUGGUUCCAACCAUUACAUCUUCAGUAACUUUGUAUUGUGAUAAUAGUGGGGUGAUAGCUCAAGCUAAGGAACCCAGGGCUCAUCAAAAGAACAAGCAUUUUGACAGGCACUUUAAUAUCAUUAUGCUGCCGAGGGGAAAGUCAACAUCCUCAAAGUUGCCUCAGCAGAUAACGUAGCAGAUCCACUGACAAAGCCAAUGUCUCAAAUCCAACUUGACCGUCAUAUGGAAAAGAUGGGUAUUAGAUACAUGGGAAGGUGGCUUUGAGUGCAAGUGGGAAAUUGUUGGAAGUAUGCCCACAAAGCCACUCAUUUGAUGUAAUAGCUUUUGGAAUACUUCUUGUAUUAAACUUUUAUAUGUUUAAUGAAGGGCAAAGCUUAUUUUUAAUCACUAUUUAUUGUAUCAUGUGGUUAAGCAAUAAGGGAAUCCAAGGAAUGUAUUUGAUCUAAGAGAUAAGUGAUUUAAGUAAGUUAGAUUAUCGAGACCUUUCUUUUAUGUUCAUUCCUAAAACGUUCCUAGCCAUAGGAUUGCCAAUUGGGCAUUGACAAUCCGCUAAGGUUAGUAUGUGUUAUGUCGACUCAAUCGCGAGUAUGACAAGUCUCAAGUCAUUUAGUGUUGGACACUAAGGCAAACACAUAGGUGCUCGAAAGAGUGAUCGAGUACACUGAACAACGAUCAAAAGAAAGUUUGAACAUACAUGUCAUGUAAGAACUCGAAAGUUCCAAAAUGCAAAGUAGUCCUUUGACCUGAGGCAUCAUUGAUGUCUAAUGGUUAGGUCAUUGAUCUUUGAUCAUGUUAAAGGCAUUCCAUUGGAGUGUCCAUGGCAUUGUUGUAGUCAAGCUACCUAGUCAUGUAGGCAUAUGAAUGCACAACAAGGAAUCUCUAACCUUCCAUGGUGGAAGGAGAAUACUCUAAGAUAUGAUUCGAGAGUCUUUGGCCAAAGCAUAUGAAUAUGACUUAGGAAGUUUGUUCCAAAUCAUAUUCAAUUGAAUCAUAUAGAUAAGUAUCACAUUGGAUAGUAGACAUGAAACAAACUAUCACCUGAAACAAUGUGAUUAAGAGCAUUGUAUUAGAGAAGGACUGUAUUGCAUUGUAGUUGUAACUGGAUAGGUUCUCCAACCACUUCUACUUAGCUUGGGUAACCAUGAUAUGCUGCUAGGUGUCACUCAUGGUUUGUGGAAGCCCUAAAGAUUAGCAAACACUAAUUUUAAGGGAGAAUUGAAAUAUGGUUUCAAUUCACAAUCGAUCGUUAAGAGUAACAAUCACCCACUACCUCGCUAAAUGGAACCGAAUGGAUCGUACACCGAGUAAGGAUGUUGGUGAAGAAAUUAAAUGAAAUGGAUAAGCAAUUAAAUGGUUUAAUUGAAGAAUGGUCAAGGUUAAUUAAUUAGUUAAUUAAUUAUACGAAAUGUUCGUAUUGGGCUUAUAUGUUGGUUUUGGGUUUCGGGGCCCAAAAACGUUUUGGUCCACAAGGCCCAUUAUGUUUAAGUUGUAUGACAACUAAAACAAAAUGGGCAAUUAGCCCAAUCAAUUUGAUAUGGCCGGCCAUUAGGGUGAGAAGUGUCAAACUUGGAUUAAUUACAAGUUUGCCACUCACAUGUGAUGAAGUAUAAAUUCAACUUUCUAGCUUUAUUUUCAUUUAGGGUUUUCUUUGAGGCAAAGAGGUGAAACAUUUUCUCUCUUUCUACAAGGAGGCCGGCCACUUAGAGAGGAUUUAGCUAGCAAUCUUUUCUUCUCUAAGUCAUCCAUUUCAUCUUCACAUCUCAUCCUUGGUGUGGAGACUUAGAGACACCAAACCUUUGGUGUUUUUGGAGAUCCUUUCCUUACAUCCUCAAGGAGCAAAGGAGCACAAAAGGGAAGGAAAUCACAAGGAAGAUCCAAGGAACUAGGAGGUGACUUGAAGGCCCUCCACUUGGGUGAAUCCCUUGUAUAAACAAGGAUGAGCUUCAAGGGUAAUAAAUCUCUAAAUCUUACCUUCUCUUUAAUGUUGUUAAAGAGUCUUAUGGUUCACCAUUCACUAGGCUUUGAAAGUCAUGGGUUUUAUGAAUUGUUUUUUAAUGCAUGCCUACUUUAAUGUGUUAAUAGUUUGCAUAUGUAUUCAAAUGUUCUUACUUGUUCUUAGCUAGGACAAAAUUUUUCCUUCACAUUGCUGCACCUAGUGUUAGUGCUUGCCCAGGGCUAGGACCAGUCUUUCAAGUGUAUGUUCACAUCCACACCACACAUUCGCUUUGGAUGCAAGUAGGUGCCAGUUAUGUCGUAUAGGUUGCAAUAGGCAACUCCGACUUGUAUGUGACCGCGAAUAGCGCCAGUCUUCACGUGAUUGUAGCACUAGAGCGUAUAUUAUGAUUACACCUGGUCUUGUUCAUGUCAGAAAUCCUCUACAUGAACUCAUGUGUCAGCAUAGAUUGAUGAGCACCUGAUUUUAUUAUGCUACUAUUGUUGUAGAGCCAAAAAAUAAUCACAAGGUGACACGUGGAUUUUUGGGUAAAAGAGAACAAAAAUACCCUUGAGGCAUACUGGGAUUCCUACGCGUGAGCAGCGGACAAUCAUUCGUCAAUCAAGUCAAAAGUGUCCAAAAUAGGUAACAAAUUUAAAGAUAUUCUCAUCCAUCCUCAUCUAGGUAAUUAUUUUAUAACCUACAUAACAUUCCAUUUAAGUGGAGGCUAAUUGGCUAAUUAAUGGAUUAAUUCCUAAUUAAUCCAUUAAUCACCAAUUAAAUCAUUCAAAGAAGGCCGGUCAUGCUCUAUAGGACUCCAUUUUCUCUAAAAAGCUAGGUCCACACUCUUGCAAAACUCCAAAAACUCUCUAAACACUUUUUCUCUCUCUAAAUUCUAAUUUUGGCAUCGGAGGUUCUUCGGCCAAAGCCUCCCGCAUUCAUUGUGGGCGCGUGAGGCUUUUGGCCUUAACCAAAGGUGUUAGUUGUUUUGUAGGUGCAAUUUUGUCCAAGAUCAAGGAGGAAGAAAUUUGCAUCCACAAUUGUGAUAUUAUGAUUUGGCAUAUUUCUGGAUUUAUUGUUGAUUUACAUUUGAUUUCAUACUUAUAUGUAGUAUGAUUUUUUGGAAACUAUACAGGUUUUACGGCGAGGGGUUAGUAUGUUUAGAAAAUAAAUGUGUUUUAUAAACAUUUGUUUUUACCCACUCACCCUUCUAUUUUUCGCUCCUACAGGUCCUAGUUAAUUAAGUACUAUAUGGCGUACGAGGAAUAUCCGGCGGUUCUUACAUACCCGUAAAUAAAUGUAGGAGCUUUUCUUGUUGUGUAAUAAGCACUUUAACUAGUUUUGACCGCACACUUUCAUGCCAUCUAUGCUCUGAACACUUGUAUUUUCUGGGUUCUUCCCACUACUGCGUGUUAUGGGUUCUUCCCACUAUUGCGCACUCACCCCUUUAGAUUAAAUAAAUGUUAGCUUUGGUUUUAAUUUAUCCAUAUUUUUAUGCUUCAUUUUCCUUUUGGUUACGUCACCUUCGGCCGACGGCCAGCAUGCCUUGACUCCAGCUGGGGUGUGUCAGUUUGGUAUUAGAGCAUAGGUUUAGCAAUCUUACAUUCCUUGUAUGUGUUAUACAUCCUAAUAAUUUUUAAUCUUUUAUGUCAGAAUCAUGCCACCUUGUAGAGCGACACUCGUCCCUUCUAAGACUAAUUUUCCUGAUUUUGGGUAGCUCGUUGAGGCUAUCGCCAACUAGGGGUGGUAUUGGUACGAUUACUGUACCAAAACCCAUGUACCAAUUACUAUACCAAACUUUUGGUAUGAUAAAAUAUAUUACCAUUACCGUGCCAAACUUUCGGUAUACCGAAUUUCGGCAUGCCAAAUAGUUCGGUUGACAGGUAUGGUAAUGGUAAUUACCACUUUGUUUUGGGUCAAAAUUUGAUUUUUUUUUUCCAACCCAAUUCAAAGCCCAAAUGUGUUUUGGCCACUCACUUUGGCUUUCUAAAACUUUUUUAUUUAAUUAUGAGAAUUUUAUAGAGAUUUAUUUAAGAAACAAGAAGUAAAUAGAUGGAAGAAUUGCUGAAAGAACCCAACAUCCCUGAAAAAAAUAGUACAAAGAUUCUUAAAUUCCAUCUCUACAUUCUUUAAAAUUGUACAAAAAUUAACUUGAUAGACAAAGCCAAUGAGAAAGACUUCCUAAUUUGAUGGAGGAGAAGACGAGAUGGACUGCGAAGAGAGAGAGAGAGAGAGAGAGAGUCGCCAGAACGGGAGCAACAGAGAUGAAGCCGAUGGCUAGAUGGGUGAAAAGAUGAAAAGUUGCAGCAUAAGAAGGAUUAGUUUUUUUAUUGGGAAAGUAGAGGUUAGAGGGUGAGACAAUUAGAUAAAUGACUAGGUAAAAAAUAUGAAGUGCAUAUAUAAUGAUAAUAAUACCUAAUUAUAUAUAGAUGAAUAAAUAAAUGAUAUAAUAUUAAUAGUAGUCGUAUGGUACGGUAUACCAUUGGUAAUGGUUUUGAAUACCAUUACCGACCGAAAAUGUAUGGUGCGGUACAAAUACCAUACCAUUACCAAUGGUAUAAUUUUUUGGCACAACUUUGGUAUGGUACAGUUGGUAUGGUAAUUUGGCAAAAAAUUCCACCCCUAUCGCCAACGCCAUUUAGUCUACUCUUCGUUCUCCCCAAUGCACUACCUUAGAGACCAUAUACCAUCUUCAGAUAUCGACCAUGUUGAGAAGACCUUUCGCAUUAUACAGCGACAGAGGAAUCUUCCAGCGAAGAGAUGGGUCGAGACAACAACUUGGUUCUUUCGUCUGGGAGUGGAAUCAUGGUGGGCUCAGUACUCACGCCAGUUGUCUGCUCAAGAUGCCAUGAAUUGGGAUGUUUUCAGACACCUAUUUGAGGCUAGAUUCACACCUCUAAAAUACAAGGAUCAGAAGAAAAACGAAUUCACGGAGUUGAAGCAAGGUAAAAUGUCAAUCAUAGAGUACCACCGAAAGUUCACUGACUUAUCCCGUUAUAGUCCCGAGAUUAUUGGGAAUCCCAGAGAGAAGUUCUGUUAUUUUAAAAAGGGGACUCGUAAGCGACUACGUUCUUUGGCGACUUCUACUCCAUUAUCUACCUACCAAGAAUUCUUUGACAUUCUGCUUCAUGUCGAAGAUUCCGAGAAUUCUCCUGAUGAUGAUGAUGAUGAUGAGGAUAACAAUAAUGACCAGAAGAAUAAUAACAGGGGGCAAUCAUCAUUUGGCCCUCAAAAGACUUAGAGUUUCAAGAGAAGCGAUAAUAGUUCUAGUUCAUCUAGCAGUAGGUCAAAUUCUAAUAUGCCUCGAAUAGGCGGCAAGUCCACAGGUAAUUCACACUUUCAGAGUCAAAUGAACUUCAACGAUUCCGAUGCUUAGCUCUGUCAUAGAUGCAACAAUUGCCAUUAUGGUGAAUGUAAGAGGGGAAGUAAUGGAUGCUACACAUGUGGCCAGAUGGGGCACAUAGCUAAUCAAUGCCCUUAAAAUCAGAAACUUCAACCUUCUACACUAUCACCUGCAAUUCCUCUACAGCAAAUUCCAAGACCUAAUACCUACACGCCGAUAGGUUAUGGUAGUGUUUUUCACUACCAAGGUGGCAUAUCCCAGUACCCGUAAUGAGCAUAUCAGUAUCCACAUGAUCCUUAUUUCCAGGGCAACUAUCUGCAGUACCAAGGAGGUUAUACACCGUAUCAAGGUGGCGGAUCAUAGUGGUAUGCUGGAGGGCAGUACCAGAAUCUUGAUGCAGGGGUGGCUCAGCCAAGAAGCCUAAUCAAACAAAUCAAGGUUAAGGUAAUCAAGGACACGGUAACCAAAAUAAAACUAACAAGGGUCAUAGAGGUAGAUAGCAAGUGCAGGGACGCGUUAACAUUACCUAGCAGGAUGCUCAAAGUAACCCCGAUUUUCAUGGAUAUGUUGAAUGUUCUUGGCCGUUUUACUAUAAUAUUAAUUGACUUGUGUGCUACUUAUUCGGUUAUUUCCCAUAUGUUUGCUCAAAAGACUCAACUUCACCCAACUCCCCUUGGUUAUGAAUUGGAACCUUAUUCCCUUGGACAUUGUUGAUUUCGAUGUUAUCUUAGGCAUGGAUUGGUUAGAUUAUAAUCGUGCCAUGUUGAAUUGCCACCAGAAAAUUGUUACCUUCCAUCGACUGGGCAUGCCGAUUGUAACUUUUGUUAGCAAACAUAGUGGUCUGAAACACAGAGUUAUCUCUUCCGUGAAGGUGAAGUGAAUGUUGAGGAAGGGUUGUCGAGGUUACUUAGCUCAUAUAGUAAUGACUGAAGAUACUCAUGCUCGUGUGAAAGACGUGAGAGUAGUUAGACACUUUCCUAAUGUUUUUCCCAACGAUUUACCUGGCCUACCACUGGAUCGUGAAAUGGAGUUCACCAUCGACCUAAUUCCAGGUACCAAUCCUAUUUCUCCAACUCCUUAUCAUAGGGCUCCUGCAGAGUUGAGGGAAUUAAAAACUCAGUUACAAGAACUUGUUGAUAAGGGGUUUAUUCAAUAAAGCACUUCUCUUUUGGGAGCUCCAUUCUUGUUUGUGAGGAAGAAAGAUGAAACUUUGAGGCUAUGUAUCGAUUAUCUUAAUCGAGUGACGAUUAAAAACCGUUAUCUGUUGCCUCGUAUCGAUAACCUUUUUUAUCAGCUUCAUGGUGCUUGGGUUUUCUCAAAAAUUGAUCUAAAGUCCUGUUAUUAUCAGUUGAAGAUCAUAAGUGAUGAUGUUUCGAAAACAGCCUUCCGAACUCAAUAUGGUCAUUUUGAGUUUCUCAUGAUGCCAUUCGGGUUAACUAAUGCUUCAGCAGCUUUUAUGGACCUGAUGAAUCGGGUAUUUCGUCCGUACCUUUAUAGGUUGGUAAUUGUUUUCAUUGAUGCCAUUCUGGUGUAUUCUAAGAGUGAAGCUGACCAUGCUAGAUAUUUACGUCUUGUUUUGAAUAAGCUAAGGGAGAAUCAACUGUACGCUAAAUUCAGUAAAGAUUAGUUCUGGCUGGAUCAGGUGUCUUUCUUGGGACACAUGAUAUCAGCUUAAAGUGUUCUCGUGGAUCCUCAUAAAGUAACAGCAGUGGAAAAUUAGGAGCAACCUCAGAUGGUCACUGAAGUUCGAAGUUUUCUUGGUCUUGCUAGCUACUAUCGACGUUUUGUGAAAGACUUCUCGGCCAUAUCACUACCUCUGACUAGGUUGACCAGGAAUGGAGUUAAUUUUGAAUGGAGUGAUGAUUAUGAACAGAGUUUUCAACAGUUGAAGUAUUAUCUCACUCAUGCGCCUGUUCUAGCAUUUCCUGAUGAAAGUGGGAAUUUUAUAGUGACACCUCUCUAAAUGGUCUAGGUUGUGUAUUGAUGCAGCAUGGAAAGGUGAUUGCGCAUGCUUCACGACAAUUAAAACCUCAUGAAAUGAACUACCUUACUUAUGAUCUUGAAUUGGCAGCUAUUGUUUUUGCUUUAAAUUUUUGGCGGCACUAUCUUUAUGGUGAAACAUGUCGAAUCUUCACUUACCAUGAAAGCCUUAAGUAUACCUUUACUAUAAAAGAACUUAAUCUUUGGCAGCGUAGAUGGAUGAAAUUGAUCAGCAAUUAUGACUACACCAUUAAAUAUCAACUUGGUCGUACGAAUACUGUAUCAUAUACUUCAAACGAAUGACUCAGAAUCCCAAAAGUUAAAACAAGCAGUGUUGAAUGGCAGUAUGGGAGAUCUCAGGAUUCGAAGGCUUGAUGGUAUGGUUAUGCAAGGCAAUUGAAUAUAUAAACCGAAUGUGGAAGAACUGAAGAAAGAAAUACUCGAUUAGAUGCAUACCUCAACUUAGGUGAUGCAUUCUAGGAGUACUAAAAUGUAUCAUAUUAUUUGACCUUUCUACUACUGAAAUGAAAAAAAGAAAUUAUGGAGUACAUGAGUCAUUUUCCGGUUUGUCAACAAGUCAAGGUGGAAAGAAAGAAACCAUUCAGGUUGCUACAACCAAUUCUUAUACCCCAGUGGAAAUGGGAAGAUAUCAUAAUGGAUUUCGUGUACAAGCUGCCUCGUACACAAAAUGGCUAUGAAGGUAUCUGGGUGAUUGUAGAUCGGCUUACCAAUUCAGCACACUUCCUACCUAUUCGUGAAAUUACCCAUUGAGUCGGUUGGCCGAACUUUUCGUCUCUAAAAUUGUCAAUUAUCAUGGUGUUCCAGUUAAUAUCAUUUCUGAUCGGGACCCUAGAUUUACUUCGAAAUUCUGGGUAGGUUUUCAGGAAGCUCUAGGUUUGAAGUUACUCUAUAGCACAGCUUAUCAUCCUUAAAUCGAUGGGCAGUCAGAGAGAACUAUUCAGAUGUUGGAAGACAAACUGAGAUCUUCAAUCCUAUAGUUCAGAUACGUAUGGCACAAGCGCUUACCUUUGAUAGAAUUUGCCUACAACAACAGCUUUCACUCUAGCAUUGGUAUGGCACCAUUUGAGGCGCUUUAUGGGAAACCAUGCCGUACACCAUUAUGUGAAGGAAUUAUUUUGAGAAAACAUGUUCAUUUGAGCAACAUCAUAUAGCAUGCAAUUAACAAUUAAAGGCGGAAUCAUGCUUGUAUGCACUCAAAAACAAAACAUGACCAUGAAAUUCAAAGCCUAGUAGAUUGGUGAACCAAUAAUCAACUCAAAACAAAGUGAGUUGAAAUUAAUACCUUUGUAGAUUCCUCUUUGCAUAAGCAAAGGCUAAUCACCCAAAGAGAUAGGGCCUUCAUUCCUUGCUUCUUAGAUCCAUGGAUUUGGAUGGAAGAAUAGGUUCUCCAAGUUCCCAAAAUUGAGAACCUCUAAGUCUCUUCACCAAGGUUAGAUUGUAGAAGAAAUGAGUGACCUUGGAGUAGUAGGAUUGCUAGAUGUACCCUCCAAGGUGUUGGCCUUUUUAGAGAGAAAAUGGAGAGACAAUUCUCACCAAUUUUCCCCAAAAAUAAACCCUUUUAUCACUUAAUGAAUAUUUAGUUAUAAAGUCAUUUAUAUAGUCACUUCUUUAAGUGACCUAAAUAACCAAAACCCUAAUUCAUCACACUAUGGCCGGCCAUUUAGGGGAUUUUGGGCUUUUGGGCUUUAAUGAAUCUUCAUUCAUUAAAUUGUCAUACAACUUAAGUUAAUGGGCUUGACGUUCGAAGCCCAUUGGGCCUUAAGGUCCAAAACUAUCCCGAAGUCUUUAACGAACUUAUUCGUUUGAUUAAUUAACAUAUUAAUUAAUCCUUGCCAUAAAUAAAUGAUUAAACCAUUUAAUCAUUCUUACUCAUUUCCGUUUAAUCUUCAAUCUCCACCUUUUAUGGUGUGCGAUCCAUUAGGUUCCUUUUAGCGAGGUAGUGGGCGAUUAAAACCAUUUUACAUCGAUUGUGAAUUGAAACUAUUUUCAAUUCUCCCUUUAGUGAUUACACACGUUUAGGGCUUCCACAAACCAUGAGUGACACCUAGCAGCAUAUCAUGGUUACCCAAGCUAAUCAGAAGAGGAUAGAGAACCUAUUCAGUUUGGGAUUACAAAUGCAAUACGGUCCUUCUCUAAUCUAAUACUCUUGACCACAUUGUUUGGUAUGAUAGUUUAUUUAUUCAUGUCUACUAUCCAAUGUGAUUCGUGUGCUUAUAUGAUUUCCUUGAAUGUGAUUUGGAACGCAUUCCCUAAUCUCAUUCAUACUCUGGCCAGAGAUUCCAAAUCAUAUCAUAGAGUAUUCUCCCUCAACUGUUUGAAGGUUAGAGAUCCCUUGUUGCGCAUUCACUUGUCUCCAUAGCUAAGUGGCUUAACCCCAACGAUGUCGUGGACACCCCGAGGGGGUGACUUUGACAUAAUCAAAGAUCAAGGACUUAACCACAAGACAACUGUGAUGCCUCAGGUCAAAGGACUACUUUGCAUUAUCCCAACCAUGAGUUCUCAUGUGACAUGGAAUAUAAGAACUCUUCGUUGAUCACGUUCAGUGAACUCAUUCUCUAUUGAGCACCUACGUACUUGUCUUGAUGUCACACACACCAAUGACUCGAGACUAAUCACUCUCCCUGAGAGAAGACAUAGUACGUACUGAUCUUAACGGACUGUCAACGCCCAAUUGACAAUCCUAUGAUCAGGAACGUUUAGGAUGUGUCUACGAAAGAAUGGUCUCAUGAAUCUAACUUCAUUAGAUUACAUUCUCCCAAUCACAUAUUCCUUGGACUUUAUCGUUUAAGCAUAUAACAUUUAUAUGAGACGGCUCAAACAAUAAUCUGUGCCCUUUAUAUGUAAAACUAGAUUAGUUUAACAUGUGAAAUGUCCGUAAAGUAUCAUCACAUGAUUGGCUUUAGGGCACAUUUCCAACAUUAUGUUGGUCCAAGGUCGGCGAAAUAGUUUUGGUGGGCCCUGAAAUCGUAGAUGAGACGACUCAGAAUAUUCAAGUGAUAAAGGUUAAUCUGAAAGUAGCAUAGGAUCGACAAAAGAGUAUAACAGACAGACAUUCGACAAACAUAGUAUAUAAGGUUGGAGAUUGGGUAUUCUUAAAGUUGUCACCAUGGAAAGGUGUUGUAUGUUUCGGGAAGAAAGGAAAACUAAUUCCUUGUUACAUUAGACCAUAUCAGAUCAUUGAGCGAGUUGGUGAAGUUGCUUACCGACUUGAUCUACCUCCAGAAUUAUCAAGAGUGCAUAAUGUGUUCCAUGUGUCCAUGUGUCCAUGCUAUAGAGAUAUGUUUAUGAUCCGUCACAUGUGAUUCCUCCUCAUCUAUUAGAGAUUAACCCAGAUUUGACUUAUGAUGAGGUUCUAGUGACGAUUCUUGACUGGAAAGACAGAGUCUUCAAGAACAAAACCAUUCAUGUGGUGAAAGUCUUAUGGAGAAACCACUCAGUUGAGGAAGUUAAUUGGGAGACAGAUGAGCGUAUGCAAGAUCUUUAUCCACAUCCGUUCUUUAAUUAUGAUCUUUAGUAGUGUUGAAAUUUCGGGGACGAAAUUUUCUUAAGGGGGUAGGUUGUGACGACCCGUCCCUAAUUUUCCAUGUAAUUUUCUCCCCGAGUGUAUAAAUUGACAUUUAUGCCUUUUUUGCAAAAGUAGAACUUGACAUGGACGUAAUUUUUCGGCUUUUAAAUUAUUUUCUCGUUAUUGUAAAUAAAUAGUACUCGUUGUUAUGAACACGUGAGCGCAAGUUAGACUUGAAACGGACUUGUUACGAAAAAGUCACGUUUAAUUAAAAUGCGUUAACAAUGGGUAGAUUUGUACACGUGUGCAUUAAUUUUUCAGUGUAGGAAACACUGUUUUUGACAAAGGGACAGAUUUUGUGUAAUCUGAAAUUGUACAAAAUCUUAUCUUUUUCCCUAUUUUUAAAACUUGUCCCGUGCCCUUUUUCCCUCAGCCACCAAUCAACUUUAUUCUCAUUUCUUCUCACCCAAUCUGACAUCACUUCCUCUCUCUUCUUCUCAGCCAAUCAGAAAAGUUCUCUCUCUCUCAUUUUCUCCUUCUCUCUCUCCCUCACCGUAACUCCCUCAUCUCUGCAACACCAAGGAUCACCAUUAAACUUUAUAGAUCGACCUUAAAAUUACGAACACAUUCGUACGAACCGAUCACGAAAUGGAUGAGUUUUGAGUGUCAACUCAAAGCAACAAGGAGCUCCGACUCAGGUGGAGUUUUCCCCAGCAUUUUUUAGUUCGAGUUACAAGAUUUUGGGAGUUUUGGAAGCAUCUACUCAACUCCUCGAGGCCAUUAGCCUAGUUUUGAAGUGGAGCUGACGAGGAAACCCACGGGUAUAAGAAGUCGAGUUUAGGUUUGAGGCUAUCCAGUCUACUUUGAUCCAUUUCCCAUCUAUUUUUGGACUUUUGAAAGGUACAAUCUUGUUCUAAUCAUCACAAGCUUCAUUUCUAUAUAAAGUUUGUCAAAAACAAUUGAGAAAUGAAGAAUAUAUGAAGUUUUCAAAAAAUUUCCAAAAACUAACGACUUUUUCCAACAUCCGGCUAACCAGCCAGUGGCAGCGGUGGAGGACCAUUGGAGAAGAGGAAGAAUAUUCCGUCAAAGUUGACGGAAUAUUCUGAUGCCGUCAGGUAACGCCAUUAACUGACGCCGUUACCGUUAGUGGAAUAUUCUGUCAUGUCUAACAUGCAUAUACAAUUCAAAAUUUAUAUACAUUUGCAACAGAAGCAUGUUAUCACAUAAUAUCAAAGUUAUAGUCAUGCAAAUCCCCUUCAAGAAGCAUAGGUUCAUAUAUGAUGCAUCUAAGAAAAUAUUGAAGAACAAAGUGAAGGUAUAGUUUUAUACCUCUUGAUCUAGACUUGAGAUCAAGGAUGGACCACCUCCAAGCUCUUUGUUCUUGGAACUCCUUGAGUCUAGCCUCCCUCCUUGCUUACUCCACCUUGAUAGAUUUAGAGCUCCUUUGAUUCUCCUCUAGUCUCCAAAGUAGAAGACCUCUAAAGAUCCACACCCAUUAGUGUAGUGAGUUGGAUGUUGGAAUAACCAAAAAGGAGAAAAGAUGAUUAGCUAUUUCUCCCUUAUGGUGGCCGGCUAUAGGGUGUGUAGAGAGAGAGAGAGAGAGAGAGAGAGUUUUGUUUUCUCUUGUUGAAAAAACACACAAAAACCCUAAUGAAACUUUUUCACUAAACUUCCUUUAUAAAGGUCAAAGAAGUAAGUCAACCACUUGACUCCCUUAUCUCUCCUUUCACUUGUAUUGGCCGGCCCCCUUAGUGUGGGUUUUGACUUUGGGCUUUCAUCAUCUCAAGUCAUUCUAUGCUUGAAUAAAAGGAUUCAAUUCGAUUGGGCCCAAUGGGCCCGAAUGAACCCGAACUUUUCUUUAAGUCCUAAACGAUCUUUUAUCGUUUAUAUGAUUUCUUUAGACUUUCUAAUUAAUCAUAACACUUAAUUAAUCCAAUUAAUUAAUUCCAUCAUCCUUUAGUUGUCUCACCACAAGAGUGUUUCGGUGUACAAUCAUUUUAGGUUCUAAUUAGCAAAGCAGUGAGGUGAUUGGUAUCAAUCCAAUUGAUUAUUAUUUAUCCAAUCACUUAGUGAAUAAAAACUUACUUUUAAUUCUCCUUCUUCUUUGAUGAAUACUUAUUUAAUCAUCUAGAAGAACUCACAAGCCAUGAGUGACAUCUAACCAUAUAUCAUGGCUACCCAAGCUAAUGUAGAAUUUGUUCGGAGAACCUAUUCGGUUGGAAUUACAAUGUAAUUCGAUCAUUCUCUAAUACAAUACUCACAAUCACAUUACUAGGGUAUGGAUAUUUAAUGUCAAACCCCUAAUGUGAUUCUAUCAUGUUAUAUGAUUCUAUUGAGUCGUAUAGGAACACUUUCCAUCAUUACGCUCAAUACUUCGGCCGAAGAUUCCUGAAUCAUAUUUUAGAGUAUUUAUCCUCUCAUAAUGAGGAUUAGAGAUCCCUUGUUGAUCAUUCACAUGCCUUUGAGAAUAAAUCACUCACCCCAACAAUGCAUAGAACACAUCCAAGAUGAGAUGUGGUCACAUCUCAUUAUCAAAUGAUCAGCAACGUAUCCCCAAGACAACUAUGAUGUCUCAGGUCAAAGGAUCACUUACAUUAUUCCAACCAGUAGAGUUACUUGCUUGACAUGUGAGUGUCCAUGCAAGUACUCUCGUUUGAUUGUGUUCAGUGAACUCAUUCCCAUAAUGAGCACUUACAUACUUGUCUUAGUGUCACUACACGAAUGGCAUGAGACUUUCCAUCCUUCCCAUUGGAAGGGGACAUAGUAUGUACUGGUCUAUGUAUUGUCAGUGUCCCUCCGACAAUCCUAUGACCAGGAACCUUUUUGGAUAUCACGGUUAUAUGAAGAAGGUCUCUGCAGUCUAACAUCAUUAGAUUACUUCUUCCAUCGAUCCAUUGUCCAUGGCUUCACUCUUUAGGACGUAUAUCGUUUAUUGAGAUAGUCCUAAUGAGUGACUUUUCCUUUUGAUGUAUUAGAGUUUUCCAUACAUAUAGACAUUGUCGUGAAAGGUUUCUUCCAAAGAUUGACUUUCAGGGCAUAUCUCAAACAAUCUCCCAUUUUCACUAAAGUCAAUCAGUAUUGCAUCUUAUAGAUGCUAGUCGAGUGAACUUGAGCUCGUAGGUUAACUAGGUUAUGCAUUAAUCCUUUUAACUUAAAAGGAUUUACUUAUUAAAUGUUUCCAAAACAUUUAAUGUUGUCUCUUCUUUGUGUUCAAAUUUGAUGAGACCUUGAUUCCAUGGCUUGAGCUAUCGCCUCAUUACGUCGUAGUAUCCUACUAACGACUUUAUAGUUUGGAUUCAAUCAUUGGUUCAUAAUGAACCCUGUCUAUUCGAAACACCCUUUGAAGCAGUUUCUAAAACUUUAAUAUAUAUCAUCAUAUAUAUUUCGUUUGUAUACUUUAUACAAACUUUUCUCCAACCUCAAGACCAUUGUAGUACCAUACUAACAAUACUUUCAUAUGAUUAGUACUUCAUCCAUCAUGAAGUUCCAUUUGUUAAAUGGGUUAUUGUCACUUUGGUUUAUAACCUAUGUGAAUGCACGCUUCCAAAGUUUCACUCUGAUGUUCCUUUCUCAAAGGUAAUAAUAUUCUAUCAGUUGCUUUGGUUCUGAUCCUGGGCCAUAACAAUAUCUUAAAGUGACAACCCUUAUGGUUUUUCACUUUUGGAUAUCAUCUCACAAGUCCAUACAUGUGUCCCUUUUGUGAUUUUGUGACAUAUUCUUUAUAAGGGUCAUGAAAGCAAUUUUUCUAAAAUAUGUAGAAAUACUUUCUCAAAUCUACAACGUUUGAGAUUCAAUUUCCUUAUACAACCUUCUUGAGACAGCCUUGAUGUAUCAAUAAGUCCAUUUCAAGUCUGUAUUUCAAAAUUGACCUUGUCACAAUUUGUCAUUUUGAGUAAACAUCAAUAUUUAUUACGUCUAUCAAAUAGACUUCAUUCAUAAUAUGUUGCUCAAAAGUAUAACAUCACUCCCAUUGACCUUGUUGUAACUAAGCAUUCAAUCGAAACCUUAAAUAAACAUAACACUUAUAUUUUCUUGAUUUGAAUGCAUAUAGCUCCCACUAACUUGUCUUGGAUCUAUUGACAAUCUUUAAGAUCCAUUAGCUUAUUGAUGAUGUCUCAACAGUUUUGGACAAUCAACAACUCUAGCUAACACAAGUUAUUUAAAUGAACAUAUACAAAAGAAUUGCUUCUCAAGUAAUCCCAUUUGAUAUGUGUGACUUGUUUUUAUCAAGUCCAUUAAUUUAAACUAUAUGGUGUCAAACAUCAUAUUUCUAGUUUUAUUCAUACUAAAACCUUUUAAAGUAGUCUUACAAGAAUUAUCCAAAUCAUUAGUGGAAGCAUGGCUCCUACUAAGGAUAUAGGAAUUUAACCAUUCCGACUAGGUGGUUGAUUUAAUUCCUUAUUAGAACUACAUAGAGCAUUAUAGUUACAUGAGGUGUCGAAAUCGGAUUGUCUUGUCAUUAAAUUAUAUGUUGUGACUCAUUUAAAAACUAUUCCCUUUUGUUUCAUCAACUUGUCCAUUUGCUAUGUACUUAGCUUGUUCUCGUAAAAGAGAAUGAUGGACAACUGCCAACAUAUAACCAUUUUAUGCUAGGUUGGUGAAACCAACAUUCAUAGAUUAUUCUUAGAAUGUUACAACAUCGAUUUUAACGCUUCGAAGAGUUUGAGACCUUUUAACAAUUAAAAUUACAAACUCAUUAAUAAUAGUGAUGCACUAUUAAUUUUAGACAACUUAUAAACCAAUCAUAUUCAAGUUUAUAUCCUUUUUCUCACCUCCCACUGUUUCUCAUGACCUUAAUGAGAAAUCGCAUUAUACAUUCAUAGUGUAUAAUUAUGAAGUAUACGGGUAGAGGACAUUGUGGAGUAGCUUAGAACCUUUUAAGCUUAUUGUUCCAACUCCACUAAGUUCAUGUCUUGUUAUUACGUAACUAAAGUCUUUAAACCUUUUAUAGAUUUAGAUACUUCAUCAUUGGUUUGAUCACUAACAUAUUUGACAUUUCUUAAAACAAUUUAAGAAUGUCCAAUUAGUUGUUCGAAACUACUAAUUGAACCAAGAGUGAUCUUGGUUAUUGUGGUUAAGUAAGUGAUAACCUUAUAAGAAACGUUUUUCUUAUGUAUUACUUAUGUCAUUAUAAUGUGAUCUUCCUUUUCUUCAAGAAAGGAAUCUCUAGACACUCUCAAUUCAUAUAGAACUCAUAUGUAGGCAAUUGGAACCAAAUGUAAAGAUUCAUUGUAUCCAUUUAUGGCCAACAUGUAAGAUCUAUCCUUAAUUGAUAAAUCCAAAGCUUGGAUUUCGCAUUAUAUAAGUGAUAUAUUUCUUGUAUCUCAACUAGAAUACAACAAGACAAUUUUUCAAUUCAUAAUACUACUUUGAGGAACAAAUUUAGUAGAAGGCAUUCAUCACAUUACAUUGAUAUGAUAAGUUAAACAUUCAUAAUGUUUUUUUACAAAAGAAUUAGCUCCUACAUUAGAGACUAAUUAUAUACCUUCAUAUAGGCACCAAAAGUGGGUCUUCCAUCAUAUGAAGCCACAUAAUAAGUUCUUAGCAAAAUAAGUAAGUUUAAAGACUAUCUUUAAUGUGCCUAACAAACUUCCUAAGUAGUUAGCAAAAAAUAAUGGUCGAACCCUUCAUUCCAUUCCUUUUUCUUUGCUCGUCCAUCUUCUACUUGGCUCCAUCACCUACAUACAAUUGCAUAAGUGAUUAGCAUUUUAUAUCAAAUAUAAAGAUUAGAAGAUCUAACAAUUAGAAUUGAAGAUAAGAACAAAACCAUACCUUGUGGCUUGUCCUUCAGAGAUUCAAGGUAUAACCUGCAAUUCCUCUUCCAAUGCCCAUCCUUUCCACAGUGGUGGCAAGUCCCCUUAGGCUCCUUUGCCUUCUUUUUCUUCACUCCUCCUUGUGCCUUAGGAGUGGGUGACUUCUUCUCCUUUCCUUUGCCUUUGCCUUUCGGCUUAGCCUUGGAAAUGGAUGGCUUAUUAUAGGCUACUGCAGCAGUCCCUACAAUGUUCUCUUUCUUCAUAGUCUUCUUAGCGGUUACUAACAGGUUUAGUAACUCGGAGAGAGUGUUAUCCAUCUUGUUCAUGUUGUAGUUCAUGACGAACUGCGAGAAUGAAUCAGAAAGAGAAGCCAAGAUGAAGUCCUGAGCCAACUCCCCGUCAAGUGGAGUCCCUAGGUUCUCCAAUCGUUCAAUGAGUCCAAUCAUCUUCAGUACAUGUUGAUGCACUGGAGCUCCCUUGACCAUUUUGGUCUUCACAAGUUCACUGACAGUGCUGAAGCGACGAUUGCGCGUCCUUUCACCAUAUAACUCCGUAAGAUGGAGUAUGAUGGAGGAUGCACUGUCCAUACCCUCAUGCUGUAUCUGCAGCUCCUUAUUCUUGGAAGCCAACAGAUAGCACUUGGCUUGUGUAUCAUCCUCAACGUGCUUGUCAUACUUAGCACGUUCACCCUCAAUGGCCUCAGGGCCAAGAGGUAUAUGAGGUGGAGCCUUGUCUAGUACAUAAACAAUUUUCUCCAAGGUUAGGAGAAUCUUGACAUUACGAUACCAAGAUGGGAAAUUAUGCCCCUAAAGGCAAUGCUUGUCGAGUAUCUUUGCAAGUGUGCUUCCAACCAUAUCUAAAUACAUAACAAUAAAAUAAAUUAGUUUGAUUGUUGAUUAAGUCAAACGAUUCGAGUCUUUAAACCGAAUGACACCACCCACUAUUUUUGGCAAAUUCCAUAUCCCUCAAGAUGGAAUCCGGGAGAUUUCAAUGAAAGCUCCUAGCGUGUUAUAAGAGGCUCACUAUUACCAAGCCCACCUCACGAUGAUACGAUGUCGGCUAGCAAAAAUAAUAAUGAGAGGGUAGAACUACCCAUUCACAACAACGUCUUGUGAUUACCCAUCUAAUUGGCCUCUAGAGAACAAUGCUUCACAAUGAUAUGAUGUUGGCACCAUUUCUCUUAGUUAAGUUUUGACCCACCAUGCCGGUUCAGAUAGGGGUCCAAGUAUGACCUCACGAUGAUACGAUGUCGGCCAUACUCGUUGCCUACCUUCACCACAUCAAAUGUUUAAAAUAGACUCCUCCUGAGUAUAAGCACAUACUUUGAACUCCCCCAUGAUAAGGUGAAGGCGGUGUAUGAGUCAUAAACGAUUGGAGCCUACCAUGGUGGAAGGCCACGAAGAAGUGUUCAAAAGCACCUCUCCGCUUUCAACUUAAUAGUGGAUGUUGGUUGAGGGAUUUUAAGGUCUCAUAUUUUAUUUAUUUAAUCAAAUUAUAAUAAAUUGUGUCCUAUUACAACUACUAGUCCAAAGUAAAUGAAAUUAGUAGCAUAUGAUAUCUCCACUAUUCAUUUUCAUAAAACAAAUCAAUAUCAAAACAAUUUUUCAAAAUAUUGGAGAUAUAUAUCACUACUAAUUGUGUUCAUUUUAGUUUAGUAGUGUAUGAUACUCCCACUAUUUGUUUUGAGAAAAACAAAUCAAUAUCAAAAAUCGAAUUUUUCAAAUAUUUGAAGUAACUACUACUACUAAGGUUUUUGCAUUCCUUUAAAUUUGGACUUUAUAGUUAUCUUAGGCUCUUUGGAUGACUAUGGACUUAUUAGGUUGAUUCAACAACGAGCCAACAUUGUUGAAUAAGAUCUAGGGAGGAAUGUAUCGUUUUAAUUACGCGCUUUCAAUCCAAUUAAAACAUUUUUCAUUGAGCCAUUAGAAAAGAAAGACAAUCAUUCAUUGCUAAUUAGGACGUUGGACCCAACAAAUCUUUAAUCUCAUGAAAAACCCUUUUUAAUAUGUUUCCUUACCAAUAGUUAAAGAAACUCUAGUCUAGUACUAGAGGGAAUCAACUAAUUGAAAGAGAUCAAGAAGUAAUAAGAAUUACAAACCGAUUUGUACAAAUUCCUACAAAUUACAUAUACUAAGAGGGAGAGAAAGAUUAAUGUCUAACAUGUUGAGGUCCAAUUGAAAUAGCAAUUAAAACACAUUCUCAAGGUUCAAAUCAUUUGAAUUUAGCGGCCUUUCUCAUAGCUCAAUUAUCGUUUAAGACACAAGUCCAUAGUCAACCAUUUUACUAACUACUUAAUCACAUUAAAUAAUUAAAUUGGAAUGCAACAUAAUCAAUUAGAUUUAGUACAUAUGGGCAUAAUUAUAUGAUGAGUUUAAGCUACAAACAAAAUUAAAUCAUAAUAUUUUAAUUUCAUAAAGAGGUGGGGCCGAAAUGCAAUUAUAAAAAGUUAUGGGUCAAACCGUAAAUACUAGAAAGUAUAAUCAACUUUUAAAUUACAAAAUAGCUCAUAGAGGACCCAUCAAUAGGGUGGCCGGUUAUGUGAUGGGGAGAGGGAGAGGUCCUAUCUUGUUCCCUUAGUUUCAAAAUAAAGCAAAAGCCCUAUCUUUUCCUUGUCACCACUCGUGCAAGUUGGCUUAAAAGGUAUGAUGGGUGUAAGGUCUCCUAGUCAAGUCUAGGAUUGAGUCAAUCAAGGGAAAGCUAUUGAUGGCAAGUUUACCAUCCAAAUUCAAAAAACAAAUUAUGAACACUAAAACAAAACCUUUUACACCAAAACCAAAACCAUGAACACCAAGAACAAAACCAUGAAAACAAUUUCAAGAUUUGUACUUUCUUGGUGAUCUUUCAAACCAAAAAACAAAAGUGACAAGGCCUCUACUUUCUUAGCUUCAAAGUGCGUGUGUGUGACUUAAAAUAAAACACAAACACAAGCCAAAAAAUCCCCCCAAAACCGUGCCUUCCCCUAUGGUACAUAUGCCCCAAAUUUUGUUCAAAAACUCACUCUUCAUUCAUGAAUCCAAAACACUUUUUGCAUACAUAUCUUUUCAACUCUUGAAACACAUUUUUCAACAUUUGAAAAACAAAAGAUAAACAUAUUUUGAAUGAAGAAAUAAUAUGUCAAACAUAAAAUUAAAACCCAUAUGCAUAAAAUCCAAAGGGACACAUCAAAUAUAAACAUUUGGCUUUUGAUACCACUUGAAGGGAAAUAAUGAGAUUUAUGUGGGAUUUCUAGUGACAAGCAUGCAUAUACAAUUCAAAAUUUAUAUACAUUUGCAACGGAAGCAUGUUAUCACAUAAUAUCAAAGCUAUAGUCAUGCAAAUCCCCUUCAAGAAGCAUAGGUUCAUAUAUGAUGCAUCUAAGAAAAUAUUGAAGAACAAAGUGAAGGUAUAGUUUUAAACCUCUUGAUCUAGACUUGAGACCAAGGAUGGACCACCUCCAAGCUCUUUGUUCUUGGAACUCCUUGAGUCUAGCCUCCCUCCUUGCUUCCUCCACCUUGAUAGAUUUAGAGCUCAUUUGAUUCUCCUCUAGUCUCCAAAGUAGAAGACCUCUAAAGAUCCACACCCACUAGUGUAGUGAGAUGGAUGUUGGAAUAACCAAAAAGGAGAAAAGAUGAUUAGCUAUUUCUCCCUUAUGGUGGCCGGCUAUAUGGUGUGUAGAGAGAGAGAGAGAGAGAGAGAGUUUUGUUUUCUCUUGUUGAAAAAACACACAAAAACCCUAAUGAAACUUUUUCACUAAACUUCCUUUAUAAAGGUCAAAGAAGUGAGUCAACCACUUGACUCCCUUAUCUCUCCUUUCACUUGUAUUGGCCGGCCUGUUUAGUGUGGGUUUGGACUUUUGGCUUUCAUCAUCUCAAAUCAUUCUAUGCUUGAACAAAAGGACCCAAUUCAUUUGGGCCCAAUGGGCCCGAAUGAACCCGAACUUUUCUUUAAGUCCUAAACGAUCUUUUGUCGUUUAUAUGAUUUCUUUAGACUUUCUAAUUAAUCAUAACACUUAAUUAAUCCAAUUAAUUAAUUCCAUCAUCCUUUAGUUGUCUCACCACAAGAGAGUUUCGGUGUACAAUCAUUUUAGGUUCUAAUUAGCAAGGCAGUGAGGUGAUUGGUAUCAAUCCAAUUGAUUAUUAUUUAUCCAAUCACUUAGUGAAUUAAAACUUACUUUUAAUUCUCCUUCUUCUUUGAUGAAUACUUAUUUAAUCAUCUAGAAGAACUCACAAGCCAUGGGUGACAUCUAACCAUAUAUCAUGGCUACCCAAGCUAAUGUAGAAUUUGUUCGGAGAACCUAUUCAGUUGGAAUUACAAUGUAAUUCGAUCCUUCUCUAAUACAAUACUCACAAGCACAUUACUAGGGUAUGGAUAUUUAAUUUCAAACCCCUAAUGUGAUUAUAUCAUGUUAUAUGAUUCUAUUGAGUUGUAUAGGAACGCUUAUCAUUACGCUCGAUACUUCGGCCGAAGAUUCCUGAAUCAUAUCUUAGAGUAUUCAUCCUCUCAUAACAAGGAUUAAAGAUCCCUUGUUGAUCAUUCACAUGCCUCUGAGAAUACAUCAUUGACCCCAAUAAUGCAUAGAACACAUCCAAGAUGAGAUAUGGUUAGGUCUCAUUAUCAAAUGAUCAGCAACGUAUCCCUAAGACAACUAUGAUGUCUCAGGUCAAAGGAUUACUUACAUUAUUCCAACCAGUAGAGUUACUUGCUUGACAUGUGAGUAGACCUCCAUGCAAGUACUCUCGUUUGAUUGUGUUCAGUGAACUCAUUCCCAUAAUGAGCACCUACAUACUUGUCUUAGUGUCACUACAUGAAUGGCAUGAGACUUUCCAUCCUUCCCAUUAGAAGGGGACAUAGUAUGUACUGGUCUAUGUAUUGUCAAUGUUGAAGGAAAAAUUUUGUCCUAGCUAAGAACAUGUGAGAAUAUUUGAAUACAUAUGCAAACUAUUAACACAUUAAAGUAGGCAUGCAUUCAAAACAUUUCUAAAACCCAUGACUUUCAAAGCCUAGUGAAUGGUGAACCAAUAUAUACUCUUUAACAACAUUAAAGAGAAGAAAGGAUUUAGAGUUUCAUUACCCUUGAAGCUCAUCCUUGUUUACACAAGGGAUUCACCCAAGUGGAGGGCCUUCAAGUCACCUCCUUGCUCCUUGGAUCUUCCUUGUGAUUUUCUCCCUCUUGAUGCUCCUUUGCUCCUUUGAGGAUUUGAGGAAAGGAUCUCCAAAACACCAAAAGUUUGAUGUCUCUAAGUCUCCACACCAAGGAUGAAGUGUGAAGAUGAAAUGGAUGACUUAGAGAAGAAAUGAUUGCUAGCUAAAUCCCCUCUAAGUGGCCAGCCUCUUUAGAGAAAAAGAGAGAAUAGGUUUCACCUCUUUUCAUCAAGAAAAACCCUAAUGAGAAAUAAAGCUAUAAAGUUGAUUUUAUACUUCAUUUCAAGUGAGUGGCAAACUUGUAAUUAAUCCAAGUUUGCAACCAUCACCCUUAUGGCCGGCCUUACCUUUGUUAUUGGGCUAAUUGCUCAUUUUGUUUUAGUUGUCAUACAACUUAAACAUAAUGGGCCUUGUGGACCAAAACACUUUUGGGCCCCGAAGCACAAAACCAACUUAAAAGCCCAAUACGAACAUUUCGUAUAAUUAAUUAACUAAUUAAUUAACCUUGACCAUUUUUCAAUUAAACCAUUUAAUUGCAUAUCCAUUUCAUUUAAUUUCUUCACUUUCAUCCUUACUCGGUGUACGAUCCAUUAGGUUCCAUUUAGCGAGGUAGUGGGCGAUUGUUACUCUUAACGAUCGAUUGUGAAUUGAAACUAUUUCAAUUCUCCCUUUGAUUAGUGUUUGCUAAUCUUCAAGGCUUCCACAAACCAUGAGUGACACCUAGCAGUAUGUCAUGGUUACCCAAGCUAAGUAGAAGUGGUUGGAGAACCUAUCCAGUUACAACUACAAUGCAAUACGGUCUUUCUCUAAUACAAUACUCUUAAUCACAUUGUUUGAGUGAUAGUUUGUUUCAUGUCUACUAUCCAGUGUGAUACUUCUCUAUAUGAUUCAAUUGAAUAUGAUUUGGAACAAACUUCCUAAGUCAUAUUCAUAUGCUUUGGCCAAAGACUCUCGAAUCAUAUCUUAGAGUAUUCUCCUUCCACCAUGGAAGGUUAGAGAUCCCUUGUUGCGCAUUCAUAUGCCUACAUGACUAGAUAGCUUGACCCCAACAAUGUCGUGGACACUCCAAUGGAAUGCCUUUGACAUGAUCAAAGAUCAAGGACCUAACCAUUAGACAUCUAUGAUGCCUCAGGUCAAAUGACUACUUUGCAUAUUGCAACUAUCGAGUUCUUACAUGACAUGUAUGUUCGAACUCUCUUUUGAUCGUUGUUCAGUGUACUCGAUUACUCUUUUGAGCACCUAUGUGUUUGUCUUAGUGUCCAACACUAAUUGACUUGAGACUAGUCAUACUCAUGCUUGAGUCGACAUAACACAUACUAACCUUAGUGGAUUGUCAAUGCCCAAUUGGCAAUCCUAUGGCUAGGAACAUUUUAGGAAUGAACAUAAGAGAAAGGUCUCGUUAAUCUAACUUACUUAAAUCACUUGUCUCUUAGAUCAAAUGCAUUCCUUGGAUUCUCUUAUUGCUUAAACACAUGAUACAAUAAAUAGUGAUUAACAAUAAGCUUUGCCCUUCAUUAAACAUAUAAAAGUUUAAUACAAUAAGUAUUCCAAAAGCUAUUACAUCAAAUGAGUGGCUUUGUGGGCAUACUUCCAACAAAUGUCCCUCCGACAAUCCUAUGACCAUGAACCUUUUUGGACAUCACGGUUAUGUGAAGAAGGUAUCUGCAGUCUAACAACAUUAGAUUACUUCUUCCAUCGAUCCAUUAUCCAUGGAUUCACUCUUUAGGACGUAUAUCGUUUAUUGAGAUAGUCAUAAUGAGUGACUUUGCCGUUUGAUGUAUUAGAGUUUUCCAUACAUAUAGACAUUGUCCUGAAAGGUUUCUUCCAAAGAUUGACUUUCAGGGCAUAUCUCCAACAGCUUGCGCAUGGGCAUGCGUGUGGCUAUGGGCUAGGUGGCAUGUGAGGGCGUGUUCAUCCUCCAGCCGAUGUGUGGUCGACGUGUACGGGUUCGUGACUUUGUGUAGAACAUUUUCGUAUAUUUAAACCCUUCAUUUGAGCAAACUGUGGGGGAUUUUCCUACCCCUUUUGUGUAGGUCCUAAUUAAUUAAUUAGUAAAGUUAUUUCACAUAUAGGUGAGACUUACCCCGAAGAGGUACGAGGACUAACAAGGCUAGGAGGCUACGACUCAUUGGCGUAUCAGUGAGUGGGCAUUUGUUUAUAUAUAAGGUUUUAUUGUUUCCACAUGUGCUUUUGUAUUGAUUUAUGCCUAUCAUGCCAUGCUUUAUUUAAUUUUAGAAAUGUUAUUACAUGGUUGAGAUUUAUAUACUAUCAUGGCAAGUUCAUAUACAUUUUUCCUGCUUAUCAUACAUUGCUGCACCUGGUGUUAGUGCUCGCCUAAGGCCAGGGCCAGUCUUUUACGUGUAUGUUCACAUCCACACCGCACGCUCGCCUUGGAUCCAAGUAGGUGCCAGUCAUGUCGUGCAGGUUGCAAUAGGCAACUUCGACUCGUAUGUGACCACGAAUAGCACCAAUCUUCACGUGAUUGUAGCACCAGAGCGUAUAUUAUGAUUACAUCCAGUCUUGUUCAUGUUAGAAAUUCUCUGCAUGAACUCGUGUGUUAGCAUAGAUUGAUGAGCACCUAAUUUUAUUAUGCUACUAUUGUGAUAUUGUGAUUUAUUGUAUUUCUAGAUUUAUUGUUGAUUUACAUUUGAUUUCAUACUUAUACGUAGUAUGAUUUUCUGGAAACUAUACAGGUUUUACGGCGAGAGUUUGUUCAGAAAAUAAAUGUGUUUUAUAAACCUUUGUUUUUGCCCGCUCACCCUUCUGUUUUUCACCCCUCUAGUUAGCAUACUCGCUGGCGUACGAGGAUUCCGACGGUUCUGACAUACCCUAAAUAAAUGUAGGAGCUUUUCCUGUUGUGUAGUAAGCACUUCAACUAGUUUCGAUUGCACACUUUUAUGUCAUCUAUGCUCUGAACACUUGUGUUUUAUGGGUUCUUCCCACUACUGCGCACUCGCCCCUUUAGAUUAAAUAAAUGUUAGCUUUAGUUUUAAUUUAUCCAUAAUUUUAUGCUUCACUUUCCUUUUGGUUACGUCACCUUCGAGUGAUGGCUAGCAUGCCUCGACUCCGGUUGAGGUGUGUCAUUACAUUUGUGUAGUUGUUUCAUCAGUUUUUAAUACUUCUUUCUUUGACAUCAUAAUUGUUCAUGUUUCUUCAUCUCGCUAAUCUUUCAAAUUUCUCUUGAACAUGGUCUACAUAUAACGUAUAACUCGUAUAAAAUCCAUGCAAACUAAUAAAUCAAAAAGAUAUUAAAAAAUCUUUAAGUUCAUUAGUAUUGUUUCUGCAACCUACCAAGAAUGUUACAACAGUUGGAUAAAACUAAACUCAAUGAGGCUUUUCUGUACAAACACGAUGAACACUUAACUUAAAUAUAUGCACACACUAGCGAGUAAGUUGGAGAAGCCACAAUAAAUGCAAGAGGGUAGUUUAGAGGGGAAGGCUUGUUUGACAUGGUUAUGCAAAGCAACCUAAGAUUUACCAAGGGCAACGUUGUAGGGUAAUAGAGACUCCAUCGAAAGCAACUGUUGGAAGGAGAGAAUGUUUUGAUUUUGGUUUUUUUAUUUUUCAAAUGGGUUUUAAGAUAAAUUUACAUAAUUUAUUGGGUUUGUGAGGAUAGUUUAGGUAGUAAAUUUGGGUUUAAAGAGAUAUUGAUUGUUUAAUAAAAAAUAAUAUGGGUGUAAAAAGAGGUUAGAUGAGUUCAAAUAAAAUUUCCCAUGUAAAAAUUAAAGAAUGAAUUAAUGAAAAGGAUACCAAGUUUGAUUCCUCUCUCCCUAUUCUAUCGCUUGUAUUAAGAAAAAAGGUAUUUGAUGGAUUAGUUCUCUAAAAGAUGUGAAAUGGGUAAUUUAAAUGAUUUUUGUUAAGAGUUUCUAAUUUAUAUAUAGGUUACGUGCAUUGUUAAAUUUUGGGUUUUAUUACGGUUGGUUUUUGAAAUUGGACCUUUCAAUUAAAAUGGUCUUUAAAAUAGAAAAUUCAACAAUUUGGGCAAACGGCCAUUUAUCACAGUAGUGGAAAGGUGUUGAGCCCUUGCAUGACGGUGUGGGUUCGAACUCCGUCGGUGGCUAAUCUAACAAAAUCUAUCAUUUGAUAAAAAAUAAAAAAUAAAAACAAUUUAACCCCUGAAAAUAGGUUUCGCGAAUCAAUUUAGUUAUUUUUUGUCUUUCAGUUAAAUAUAUUAUUAGUGUUCUAAUAUUGACACACCUCGACCGAGAUCAAAGCAUGGCUAAUCUAACAAAAUCUAUCAUUUGAUAAAAAAUAAAAAAUAAAAACAAUUUAACCCCUGAAAAUAGGUUUCGCGAAUCAAUUUAGUUAUUUUUUGUCUUUCAGUUAAAUAUAUUAUUAGUGUUCUAAUAUUGACACACCUCGACCGAGAUCAAAGCAUGUUGGCCGUCAUGUGAGGGUGACGUAGCCAUGUGCACAGUGCGAAAGCGAUAAAGAUAAGAGUUAUACGAAUAAACAAAAACCGAAAGCUACUAAUGUGCACUAAUAAACAAGAAGUGUUAAGAGUGAGAUACAAGUGUAAAUACUCCUAAUCAGAGCAUAGAAAGUCUAGGUGGUCCAGUAGGACGAGUACUAAUUAUACAGUACCAUAAGAUGUCCUACAAUUAUUUAUAUAUGUCAGAAUCCUCAUACUCCACCAACACUAGUCUACCUAAAACCUGGAGGGGCGCAAAACAGAAAAUGUGGGUGGGAAAAAACAAAUGUUUUACAAAACCAUUUCAUUUCUUAACAAUUCUAACCCCUCGCUGUAAAACAUGUAUAAUUUUUCCCAGAAAUAGAAUAUAAGCAUAUGCAUAAAUAUAUAUACGUAAAUAUAUCAAUUCAAUUCAUGCUUCACAUAUUCAUAAUCAUUAGUAUGCCAUGCCAAGAUAUAACAAAGUAAGUUAUUCAGGUGAGAAUAACUUCAUGGAAAAUAACAUAUUACCCUGAACCUUUACAUAAAUUUGUAUGGAUGAAUUCAUAGCUCAUUAGUCAAUCUAGCUGGAGUCACUACUAUGACAUAUACAGCACUACACUGCACAUAAGUCGAAACCACUAAAAAAAGGGAUAUGUACGACAAUACUAGGUGUAAUAUAAUUAUGCUCGAUACUACUCUCUCAUGAUAGCUGGGUGAUAAAUCGCUAGUCACCUACGAGUCGGAAUUACCUAUGAUGGUCUGUACGACAGGACUGUGCACCAAAAUUGGAUCCAAUAUGAGCAUAUGGUGCGGGAAGUGACAUUUUAAUAACAGGCCUGUGUCAUGUCUCUGGCUAAUCAUUAACACCCUAGGUGCAGGUUUAUGAGCUCAAAGCUUCUCAAUUAAUCAACACCUUAAUCACAUUCACAAUCCAUAACUCACAUGGGCUUACCUGAGUGUCCACAGCACCACAAUAAUAUAUAUGCAUCAUAUACUAAUUCAUAUACGAAAUAUAAAUUUAGAUGCAUGACAUUCAAAGCAUACUUUCAUUUAAACACAUUUUCUAGGAAAAUAUCAAGUAUAUAAAUAUAUACUGAAAACCAAAAGCCCACUCACUGGUAUGUCGAAUGGUCGUAGCCCCCGAGUCGCCCUUGACUAUGCUCGUCCUCGGGAUAAGCCUCCCCUAUAUGCGAAAUAACUAUAAAAAUGUUAUUUAAAGCACAUAGACAAAACUAGCUAAUAACUUCUCACAAUUAAAUUGUUAUAUGGAAUAUGUGAGUCAAUGUAUACAAAAUAAAUUAGAAGCAUAUUUAGGGUUUUCUAAACCCUAGGUUCAAAAAAUUUGGUAUAUUUUUCAGCACUACUGUGGAAUGGCAUCAUCUUGAUGCCUUUGGACCACCUGUGCAACCCUUUUUGGGCCUACUGCUCCACAAUGUACCAUAACCAGGCCUUGACUUGGGUUGAAACUUGCAUAGGCCAGAAGCCCUAGGUCCAAAACCACAGCCAACAAGCCUUGCUUACUGGGCUCCCGUGUCCCGGCAUGUGUCCCCCAUGCCAGCCCAAGCGGCUAGGCUUGUCUCGAACCCAAACUAAAGUCAGCCUUUGUGCUGGGCUUUGUAAACGUACCCAUAGCCCACUUCCCCCAGCCCAAUUUAUUGGGUUUGAAGCCUGCUACCGUGCCCCCUUCGACCAAAAUUGGAACCCAGCUACGACUGGGGUUCCUCCCACUCUCGUAGGACCUUGGUCCUAUUUUUUUCAAUGAACCCAUGGCUUGCAGCCCAUUCCCGAGCACUUUUGCUCACGGCACCUAGGACAAAUAUUUUUGGGGCUAUAUUUUCAACCCAAUAAUAUUAUUUUUGCUUCUACAAUCGACCCCGUAUGGCCCAAUUUAUUGAAUUAAUUAAAAGUGACGUGCAGUCCAUUAUGUUAGAAAUGUGCCCUAAAGCCAAUCAUAUGAUGAUACUUUACGGACAUUUCACAAGUUAAACUAAUUUAGUUUAAUAUAAAGGGGAAAAAUUAUUGUUUAAAGCCAUCUCAUAUAAAUGUUAUAUGCUUAAACAAUAUGUCCAAGGAAUAUGUAAUUGGGAGAAUGUGAUCUAAAGAAGUUAGAUUCAUGAGACCAUUCUCUUUCAUAUACAUAUUAUAAACGUUCCUGAUCAUAAGAUUGCCAAUUGGGCAUUGACAGUCUGUUAAGAUCAAUAUGUGAUAUCUUCUCUUAAAAGAGAGUGACUGGUCUCGAGUCAUUGGUGUGACCAACACCAAGACAAGCAUGUAGGUGCUCAAUAAAGAAUGAGUCCACUGAACACGAUCAACGAGGAGUUCUCAUACUCAUAUCACAUGAGAACUUAUGGUUGGGAUAAUGCAAAGUAGUCCUUUGACCUGAGGCAUCAUAGUUGUCUUGUGGUUAGGUCCUUGAUCUUUGACUAUGUCAAAGUCACUCCAUCAUAGGGUGUCCACGACAUAGUUGGGGUUAAGCCACUUAGCCAUGGAGGUAAGUGAAUGCACAACAAGGGAUCUCUAGCCUUCAAACCACUUGAGGGAGAAUACUUUAUAAUAUGAUUAAGAAUCUCUGGCCAGAGUAUGAAUGAGAUUUAGGAAGUCAUUCCAAAUUACGUUCAAAGUAAUCAUAUAAAUAAGAGAAUCACAUUGGAUAGUAGACAUAAUAAACUAUCAAACCAAACAAUGUGGUCAAGAGUAUUGUAUUAAAGAAAGACCGUAUUGCAUUGUAAUCCUAAACUGAAUAGGUUCUCCACCUCUUCUAAUUAGCUUAGGUAGCCAUGACAUACUGCUAGGUGUCACUCAUGGUUUGUGGAAGCCCUAAAGAUGUAUAAUCACUAAAGGGAGAAUUGAAAGUAUGUUUCAAUUCACAAUUAAUUUGAAGAGUUCUAAUCGCCCAAUGCCUCGCUAAAAGGAACCUAAUGGAUCGUACACCGUGCAAGGUAGAGAUUGAAGAAACAAUGGAGAUGAGUAAGGAUAAUUAUAUGGUUUAAUUAUUU